GGCCGAGGAGGAGGGGAUCGACCUGCCCUACUCCUGCCGCGCCGGCUCCUGCUCCUCCUGCGCCGGCAAGUUGGUGUCCGGCGAGAUCGACCAGUCCGACCAGAGCUUCCUCGACGACGACCAGAUGGAGGCAGGGUGGGUGCUCACCUGCCACGCCUACCCCAAGUCCGACAUCGUCAUCGAGACCCACAAGGAGGAGGAGCUCACCGCAUAAGCUGCUUUACCUAUCUCUCUUUGCAAGAUAAUAUCACGGACCCUGAGACCUGUGUAAACCCUGAGAGCUGAUUUCAUGCAUGCACGGACAUUGCCAGAUACACCGAAUUGUUUGUGCUCGAAUGAAUUGCUCGAUGCAUGGUUUGCUCAAGUAAUAAUGUCUUCGAAUUACUACCUUUUUGUACCGUAAGAUAUACUACUGCCGUAAUACUAGCGUGUACCUUGUACGUAACUCGACGUACUGAAAUGAAUCCUGAUGGCUGAGGCGUCUCUCUGAUUAAUAAUAUCUUCUCUUUAAUUAAGAGACUGCUGAAUUACUUGAUGAACAUCUUACCUGGGACUUUCUUCUAUAUCCAGAUAAUAGGUGCAUGCUACGACUUGUUUCAAUAUGAGUUACACAAUUUCCUCAUUAUUUUGUUUACCCACAAGGAGACCUCUUUUCCGCACUCAUUUUUGUCCUCACUACUGAUUUGCUCCAAUCCAUUUUCAAUGAAGCUUUGGACAACAAUUUGAUAGGUUUGCCCAUUAUCACUAAGAAUAACAGAGAUUUCCUUAUAAUCCAGUAUGCAGAUGACACCAUUAUUAUCUUGCAUGCAUGUCCCUUGCAAAUUCAACAAGUUCAGAACAUAUUGAUGCAUUUUCGGGUUUACACAGGUCUCAGGGUCAACUACAACAAAUCCAUGAUGGUUCCCAUGAAUGUACCUGCUCAUAACAUCAAGCAACUCUCAGCUAUUUUAGGUUGUGCCCACAGUAGUUUUCCCUUUACUUACCUUGGACUUCCUCUUGGCAUUUCUAAACCCAAGGUUGAAGAUUUUGAAAAGGAUUGGAUCUAGACUUGCUGGUUGCUCCACAAUGCUUUCCUAGGGAGAGAAACUCAUUCUUGUGAAAUCUGCUUUCACUAGCCUACCUACUUCCUUCAUGAGCAGUUUAGACCUCCCCAUAGGAGUUGUUGGCCAUAUUAAUAAAUACUUGAGACAUUGCUUUUGGAGGAAAUAUGGGAUGGACGACAGACGUACUUCUCUUAUAUUCUUGGGAUAAAAUUUGCCUUGCUAAGGAAGCUGGUGGACUUGGAGUUCUUGAUGUGCAAACUCAGAACAAAGCUUUGUUGAUGAAAGAUCUGCAUAAUUUUUUCAAUAGUUCUGACCUCCCUUGGGUGGACCUUAUGUGGAGCUCCUACUAUACUUCUACCCCCUCCUCAUGUCACACCUGUUGGUUCCUUCUGGUGGAAGUUUAUUCUCAAAUUAAUCCCUGAUUUUAAAGCCAUCUCUUCCUGCAGCAUGGGGCAAGGGAACUAUGUUCUUCUGUUAUUUGAUAAUUGGGAUGGUAACAGAUUCAUUGAUAGAUUCCCUGAGCUUCAUUCUUUUGUUGUGAAUGACCAAUUCUCAAUUGAGCAAGCAUUGCACAUCAACCCUCCAGAGGAUCUAUUCCAUAGGCCACUCUCCACCCAAACUUUCCAGCAGUUCCAGGGUUCCCAAAACUUUAUGAAUAAUAUUCAGUUUUCUGGCUCCAAAGACAAAUGGUCUUACAUCUGGGGAUCUUCUCAGUCCUCUAUUGCAAAGGUUUACAAAACCUUGAGGGUUAAACCACCUACACCACCUCUCUUCAACCUGUUAUGGAAGAGCUCAGUAAUCCUUUGAUAUAAGAUUUUCUUCUGGUUUCUCCUUCAUGAUAGACUGAAUUCAAGAGAGCUUCUACAAAGAAAAUCCUUGUGGCUACCCAAUUAUGAUUGUGGAAUGUGUGACACUAAAUCCUUGGAAACUGCUUUUCACUUGUUUUGGAACUGCCCUUUUUCUAUUCAAUGUUGGGAGACCUCGAUUCCGCAGAUAUUGAGGAACAACUCAGUUUACACAUAUAUCCAACUAGCGGUGCCCCCCCCCCUCCUGAUUUGGCCCUGGACAUCAUAAUUAUGGCUUCAUGGAAUAUAUGGAUUCAAAGAAACAAUGCAAUGUUCAAAAAUACCACACACAGUGUGGCCUCCUGGAAAAUAUUGCUUAGAAGAGAUCUCCAAAUUCUGGCUCACAGAAGACAACAAAGUAGCAAGACUGCAAGCCUGGAUUAAAGUUAACCUUUAAUUUCUCAUGUUGCCAAAAGGUGGGAUUGGUUGAGUUGUAUUUUCUUUUUUCUGUUUGUACAUACUUUUAUUAUUAAUGAAAAUUUAACCAUACAACUAUUGUUCUAUGAUCAGUGCCUAAAAAAUGUUUGAGGCUAGCAGAAUGUUUGUUUACAUGGUCCUCAUUUUUUUCUGAAAAGGGAUAAUAUGUUUGUAAGAUCGUGAAUGUCACCUAGAGGGGGGUGAAUAGGCGCUUUAAAAUAAUUACGGUUUAGGCUUGAACAAAUGUGGAAUAAAACUAGCGUUUAAUUUGUCAAGCACAAAACCUAAAACAACUAGGCUCACCUGUGUGCACUAACAACUUAUGCUAAGCAAGAUAAACAACUAAGUGAUAGAAAGAUAUAUAACAUGUCAUAUUAUGGCUAUCACAAAGUAAAGUGCAUAAGUAAAGGGCUUGGGUAAGAGAUAACUGAGGCACACGAAGACGAUGAUGUAUCCCGAAAUUCACACCCUUGCGGAUGCUAAUAUCCGUUUGGAGCGGUAUGGAGGCACAAUUGUUGGGGAACGUAGUAAUUUCAAAAAAAUUCCUACGCACACGCAAGAUCAUGGUGAUGCAUAGCAACGAGAGGGAAGAGUGUUGUCCAUGUACCCUCGUAGACCGAAAGCGGAAGCGUUAGAACAACGCGGUUGAUGUAGCCGUACGUCUUCACGGCCCGACCAAUCAAGCACCGAAACUACGGCACCUCCGAGUUCUAGCACACGUUCAGCUCGAUGACGUCCCUCGAACUCCGAUCCAGCCGAGUGUCAAGGGAGAGUUCCGUCAGCACGACAGCGUGGUGACGAUCUUGAUGUUCUACCGUCGCAGGGCUUCGCCUAAGCACCGCUACAAUAUUAUCGAUGAGGACUAUGGUGGAGGGGGGCACCGCACACGGCUAAGAGAUCAAGAGAUCAGUUGUUCUGUCUAUGGGGUGCCCCCCUCCCCGUAUAUAAAGGUGUGGAGGAGGGGGCCGACCAAGGGGGUGGCGCGCCCUAGGGGGGAGUCCAACUCCCACCGGGAGUAGGACUUCCCCCUUUCCUAUUAGGAGAGGGAGAGGGAAGGAAGAGGAAGGAGGGAGGAAGGAAAGGGGGGACCGGGCCCCCUCCCAAUUCGGAUUGGGCUUGGGGGGGCGCCCCCUCCCUUGCUCCUUUCCCCUCCUUUCCACUAAGGCCCAAUAAGGCCCAUAUACCUCCCGGGGGGGUCCGAUAACCUCCCGGAGCUCCGGUAUUGUCCCAAUCUCACCCGGAACCUUUCCGAUGUCCAAAUAUAGUCGUCCAGUAUAUCGAUCUUUAUGUCUCAACCAUUUCGAGACUCCUCGUCAUGUCCGUGAUACACAUCCGGGACUCCAAACAACCUUCGGUACAUCAAAACUCAUAAACUCAUAAUAUAACUGUCAUCGAAACCUUAAGCAUGCGGACCCUACAGGUUCGAGAACUAUGUAGACAUGACUGAGACACGUUUCCGGUCAAUAACCAAUAGAGGAACCUGGAUGUUCAUAUUGGCUCCUACAUAUUCUAUGAAGAUCUUUAUCGGUCAAACCGCAUAACAACAUACGUUGUUCCCUUUGUCAUCGGUAUGUUACUUGCCCGAGAUUCUAUCGUCUGUAUCUCAAUACCUAGUUCAAUCUCGUUACCGGCAAGUCUCUUUACUCGUUAUGUAAUGCAUCAUUCCGUAACUAACUCAUUAGUUACAUUGCUUGCAAGGCUUAUAGUGAUGUGCAUUACCGAGAGGGCCCAGAGAUACCUCUCCGACAAUCGGAGUGACAAAACCUAAUCUCGAAAUACGCCACUCAACAUGUACCUUUGGAGACACCUGUAGAGCUCUUUUAUAAUCACCCAGUUACGUUGUGACGUAUGGUAGCACACAAAGUGUUCCUCCGGUAAACGGGAGUUGCAUAAUCUCAUAGUUGUAGGAACAUGUAUAAGUCAUGAAGAAAGCAAUAGCAACAUACUAAACGAUCAAGUGCUAAGCUAACAGAAUGGGUCAAGCCAAUCACAUCAUUCUCGUAAUGAUGUGAUCCCGUUAAUCAAAUGACAACUCAUGUCUAUGGCUAGGAAACACAACCAUCUUUGAUUCAAUGAGCUAGUCAAGUAGAGGCAUACUAGUGACAUUAUGUUUGUCUAUGUAUUCACACAUGUAUCAAGUUUCCGGUUAAUACAAUUCUAGCAUGAAUAAUAAACAUUUAUCAUGAAAUAAGGAAAUAAAUAAUGACUUAAAUAUUGCCUCUAGGGCAUAUUUCCUUCAGUCUCCCACUUGCACUAGAGUCAAUAAUCUAGUUCACACCGCAAUGUGAUUUAACACUAAUAUUCACAUAUGUAUGUGAUUAAUACCCAUAGUUCACAUCGUCAUGUGAUCAACACCCAAAGGGUUUCUAGAGUCAAUAAUCUAGUUCACAUCCCUAUGUGAUUAACAACCAAAGAGUACUAAGGUAUGAUCAUGUUUUACUCAUGAGAGAAGUUUAGUCAACGGGUCUAUCACAUUCAGAGCCGUAUGUAUUUUGCAAAUAUUCUAUGUCUACAAUGCUCUGUACGAAGCUACUCUAGCUAAUUCCUCCCACUUUCAAUAUGUAUCCAGAUUGAGACUUAGAGUCAUCUGGAUUGGCGUAAAAGCUUGCAUCAUUGUAACCUUUUACGAUGAGCCCUUUUAUCACUUCCAUUAUCGAGAAAUAUUUCCUUAGUCCUCACUAAGGAUAUUCUUGACCGUUGUUCAGUGAUCUACUCUUAGAUCAAAAUUGUACUCCCUUGCCAAACUCAGAACAAAGUAUACAAUAGGUACAUAACAUAGCAUAAUUUAUAGAACCUAUGACUAAGGCAUAGGGAAUGACUUUUCAUUCUCUUUCUAUUUUUUGCCAUGGUCGGGUUUUGAGUCUUACUCAACUUUCACACCUUGCAAUACAGGCAAGAACUCCUUCUUUGACUGAUCCAUUUUGAACUACUUCAAAAACUUAUUAAGGUAUGCACUCAUUGAAAAAUCCUAUCAAGCGUCUUGAUCUAUCUCUAUAGAUCUUGAUGCUCAAUGUGUAAGCAGCUUCACUGAGGUGUUUCAUUGAGAAACUCUUAUUCAAGUAUCCUUUUAUGCUUUCCAAAAAAAUUCUACAUUAUUUCCGAUCAACAAUAUGUUAUUCACAUAUACUUAUCAGAAAUGUUGUAGUGCUCCCACUCACUUUCUUGUAAAUAGAGGCUUCACUGAAGUCCGUAUAAAACUAUAUGCUUUGAUCAACUUAUCAAAGCGUAUAUUCCAACUCCGAGAUGCUUGCACCAGUCCAUAGAUGGAUCGCUGGAGCUUGCACAUUUUGUUAGCACUUUUAGGAUUGACAAAACCUUCUGGUUGCAUCAUAUACAACUCUUCUUUAAGAAAACCAUUAAGGAAUGCAGUUUUGACAUCCAUUUGCCAGGUUUCAUAAAAUAUGGCAAUUGCUAACAUGAUUCGGACAGACUUAAGCAUCGCUACAGUUGAGAAAAUCUCAUUGUAGUUAACACCUUGAACUUGUCGAAAACCUUUUUGCGACAAGUCGAGCUUUGUAGAUAGUAACACUACUAUCAACGUCUAUCUUCCUCUUGAAGAUCCAUUUAUUUAUGGCUUGCCGAUCAUUGGGAAAGUCCACCAAAGUCCACACUUUGUUCUCAUACAUGGAUCCUAUCUCAGAUUUCAUGGCCUCCAGCCAUUUCGCGGAAUCUGGGCUCAUCAUCGCUUCCUCAUAGUUCGUAGGUUUAUCAUGGCCUAGUAACAUGACUUUCAGAACAGGAUUACCAUACCACUCUGGUGUGGACCGUACUCUGGAAGACCUACGAGGUUCUAUAGUAACUUGAUCUGAAGUUUCAUGAUCAUCAUCAUUAGCUUCCUCACUAAUUGGUGUAGGAAUCACUGGAACUGAUUUCAGUGAUGAACUGUUUUCCAAUUCGGGAGAAGGUACUAUUACCUUAUCAAGUUCUACUUUUCUCCCACUCACUUCUUUCGAGAGAAACUUCUUCUCUAGAAAGGGUCCAUUCUUGGCAACGAAUGUCUUGCCUUCGGAUCUGUGAUAGAAGGUGUACCCAACAGUUACUUUUGGGUAUUCUAUGAAGAUGCACUUCUCCGAUUUAGGUUUGAGCUUAUCAGGAUGAAACUUUUUCACCUAAGCAUCCCAACCUCAAACUUUAAGAAACGACAGCUUAGGUUUCUUGCUAAACCAUAGUUCAUAUGGUGUCGUCACAAUGGAUUUAGAUGGUGCCCUUUUAACGUGAAUGCAGCUAUCUCUAAUGCAUAACCCCAAAACGAUAGUGGUAAAUCAGUAAGAGACAUCAUAGAUUGCACCAUAUCCAAUAAAGUGCGGUUACGAUGUUCGGACACACCAUAAUGUUGUGGUGUUCCAGGUGGCAUGAACUGUGAAACUAUUCCACUUUUUUUUAAUUGAAGACCAAACUCAUAACUCAAAUAUUCAUCUCCACGAUCAGAUCGUAGAAACUUUAUUUUCUUGUUACGGUGAUUUUCCACUUCACUCUGAAAUUCUUUGAACCUUUCAACUAUUUCAGACUUAUGUUUCAUCAAGUAGAUAUACCCAUAUCUUCUCAAAUCAUCUGUGAAGGUCAGAAAAUAACGAUACCCGCCACGAGCCUUAAUACUCAUUGGUCUGCAUACAUCAGUAUGUAUUAUUUCCAACAAGUCAGUAGCUCGUUCCAUUGUUCUGGAGAACGGAGUUUUAGUCAUCUUGCCCAAAAGGCACGGUUCGCAAGCAUCAAAUGAUUCAUAACCAAGUGAUUCCGAAAAUCCAUCUUUAUGGAGUUUCUUCAUGCGCUUUACACCGAUAUGACCCAAACGAUAGUGCCACAAAUAAGUUGCACUAUCAUUAUUGACUUUGCAUCUUUUGGCAUCAAUAUUAUGAAUAUGUGUAUCACUACGAUCGAGAUCCAAUAAACUAUUUUCAUUGGGUGUAUGACCAUUGAAGGUUUUAUUCAUGUAAACAAAACAACAAUUAUUCUUUGACUUUAAAUGAAUAAUCGUAUUGCAAUAAACAUGAUCAAAUUAUAUUCAUGCUCAACGCAAAUGCUAAAUAACAUUUAUUUAGGUUUAACACUAAUCCCGAUAGUAUAGGGAGUGUGUGAUGAAUAUCAUAUCAAUCUUGGAACUACUUCCAACACUCAUCGUCACUUCCCCUCAACUAGUCUCAGUUUAUUAUGUAACUCCUGUUUCGAGUUACUAAUCUUAGCAACCCAACAAGUAUCAAAUACUCAGGGGCUACUAUAAACACUAGUAAGGCACACAUCAAUAACCUGUAUAUCAAAUAUGCCCUUGUUCACUUUGCCAUCCUUCUUAUCCACCAAAUAUUCAGGGCAUUUCCGCUUUCAGUGAUCAUUUACUUUGUAGUAGAAGCACUCAAAUUCAGGCUUUGGUCCAGCUUUAGGCUUCUUCACGGGAGUGACAACUUGCUUGUCAUUCUACUUGAAGUUCCCUUUCUUUCCCUUUGCCUUUUCUUGAAACUAGUGUUCUUGUCAAUCAUCAACACUUGAUGCUCUUUCUUGAUUUCUACCUUCGUCGAUUUCAACAUCACAAAGAGCUCGGGAAUUGUUUUCGUCAUCCCUUGCAUACUAUAGUUCUUCACGAAGUUCUAGCAACUUGGUGAUGGUGACUAGAGAACUUUGUCAAUCACUAUCUUAUCUAGAAGAUUAACUCCCACUUGAUUCAAGCGAUUGUAGUACCCAGACAAUCUGAGUACAUGCUCACUGCUUGAGCUAUUCUCCUCCAUCUUUUAGCUAUAGAACUUGUUGGAGACUUCAUAUCUCUUAACUCGGGUAUUUGCUUGAAAUAUUAACUUCAACUCUUGGAACAUCUCAUAUGUUCCAUGAUGUUCAAAACGUCUUUGAAGUCCCGAUUCUAAGCCGUUAAGCAUGGUGCACUAAACUAUUAAGUAGUCAUCAUAUUGAGCUAGCCGAACGUUCAUAAUGUCUGCAUCUGCUCCUGCAAUAGGUAUGUCACCUAGCGGUGCAUCAAGGACAUAACUCUUCUGUGCAGCAAUGAGGACAAUCCUCAUAUCACAGAUCCAAUCCGCAUCAUUGCUACUAACAUCUUUCAACACAGUUUUCUCUAGGAACAUAUCAAAAUAAACAUAGGGAAGCAACAACGCGAGCUAUUGAUCUACAACAUAAUUUGCAAAAUACUACCAGGACUAAGUUCAAGAUAAAUUUAAGUUCAAUUAAUCAUAUUACUAAAGAACUCCCACUUAGACAGACGUCUCUGUAGUCAUCUAAGUGAUCACGUGAUCCAAAUCAACUAAACCAUGUCCGAUCAUCACGUGAGAUGGAGUAGUUUUCAAUGGUGAACAUCACUAUGUUGAUCAUAUCUACUAUAUGAUUCACGUUCGACCUUUCGGUGUCCGUGUUCCGAGGCCAUAUCUGUAUAUGCUAGGCUCGUCAAGUUUAACCUAAGUAUUCUGCGUGUGCAACACUUUUGCACCCGUUGUAUUUGAACAUAGAGCCUAUCACACCCGAUCAUCACGUGGUGUCUCAGCAUGAAGAACUUUCACAAUGGUGCAUACUCAGGGAGAACACUUCUUGAUAAUUAGUGAGAGAUCAUCUUAUAAUGCUACCGUCAAUCAAAGCAAAAUAAGAUGCAUAAAGGAUAAACAUCACAUGCAAUCAAUAUAAGUGAUAUGAUAUGGCCAUCAUCAUCUUGUGCUUGUGAUCUCCAUCUCCGAAGCACCGUCGUGAUCACCAUCGUCACCGGCGCGACACCUUGAUCUCCAUCGUAGCAUCAUUGUCGUUUCGCCAUAUAUUGCUUCUAUGACUAUCGCUACCGCUUAGUGAUAAAGUAAAGCAAUUACAGGGCGCUUGCAUUUCAUACAAUAAAGCGACAAGCAUAUGGCUCCUGCCAGUUGCCGAUAACUCGGUUACAAAACAUGAUCAUCUCAUACAAUAAAAUAUAGCAUCAUGUCUUGACCAUAUCACAUCACAACAUGCCCUGAAAAAACAAGUUAGACGUCCUCUACUUUGUUGUUGCAAAUUUUACGUGGCUGCUACGGGCUGAGCAAGAACUGUUCUUACCUACGCAUCAAAACCACAACUAUAGUUUGUCAAGUUAGUGUUGUUUUAACCUACGCAAGGACCGGGCGUAGCCACACUCGGUUCAACUAAAGUUGGAGAAACUGACACCCGCCAGCCACCUGUGUGCAAAGCACGUCGAGAGAACCAGUCUCGCGUAAGUGUACGCGUAAUGUCGCUCCGGGCCACUUCAUCCAACAAUACCGCCGAACCAAAGUAUGACAUGCUGGUAAGCAGUAUGACUUGUAUCGCCCACAACUCACUUGUGUUCUACUCGUGCAUAUAACAUCUACGCAUAAAACCAGGCUCUGAUGCCACUGUUGGGGAACGUAGUAAUUUCAAAAAAUAUCCUACGCACAUGCAAGAUCAUGGUGAUGCAUAGCAACGAGAGGGAAGAGUGUUGUCCACGUACCCUCGUAGACCGAAAGCGGAAGCGUUAGAACAAUGCGGUUGAUGUAGUCGUACGUCUUCACAGCCCGACCGAUCAAGCACCGAAACUACUGCACCUCCGAGUUCAAGCACACGUUCAGCUCGAUGACGUCCCUCGAACUCCGAUCCAGCCGAGUGUCAAGGGAGAGUUCCGCCAGCACGACGGCGUGGUGAAGAUCUUGAUGUUCUACCCUCGCAGGGCUUCGCUUAAGCACCGCUACAAUAUUAUCGAGGAGGACUAUGGUGGAGGGGGGCACCGCACACGGCUAAGAGAUCAAGAGAUCAAUUGUUGUAUCUAUGGGGUGCCCCCCUCCCCCGUAUAUAAAGGAGUGGAGGAGGGGGCCGGCCAAGGGGGGUGGCGCACCCUAGGGGGAGUCCAACUCCCACCGGGAGUAGGACUUCCCCCUUUCCUAUUAGGAGAGGGAGAGGGAAGGAAGAGGAAGGAGGGAGGAAGGAAAGGGGGGCCGGCCCCCUCCCAAUUCAGAUUGGGCUUGGGGGGGGUGCCCCCUCCCUUGCUCCUUUCCCCUCCUUUCCACUAAGGCCCAAUAAGGCCCAUAUACUUCCCGGGGGGUUCCGAUAACCUCCCGGAGCUCCGGUAUUGUCCCAAUCUCACCCGGAACCUUUCCGGUGUCCAAAUAUAGUCGUCCAAUAUAUUGAUCUUUAUGUCUCGACCAUUUCAAGACUCCUCGUGAUGUCUGUGAUCACAUCCGGGACUCCGAACAACCUUCGGUACAUCAAAACUCAUAAACUCAUAAUAUAACUGUCAUCGAAACCUUAAGCGUGCGGACCCUACGGGUUCGAGAACUAUGUAGACAUGACCGAGACACGUUUCUGGUCAAUAACCAAUAGCGGAACCUGGAUGUUCAUAUUGGCUCCUACAUAUUCUAUGAAGAUCUUUAUCGGUCAAACUUCAUAACAACAUACGUUGUUCCCUUUGUCAUCGGUAUGUUACUUGCCCGAGAUUCGAUCGUCGGUAUCUCAAUACCUAGUUCAAUCUCAUUACCGGCAAGUCUCUUUACUCGUUAUGUAAUGCAUCAUUCUGUAACUAACUCAUUAGUUACAUUGCUUGCAAGGCUUAUAGCGAUGUGCAUUACCGAGAGGGCCCAGAGAUACUUCUCUGACAAUUGGAGUGCCAAAACGUAAUCUCGAAAUACGCCAACUCAACAUGUACCUUUGGAGACACAUGUAGAGCUCCUUUAUAAUCACCAAGUUACGUUGUGACGUUUGGUAGCACAGAAAGUGUUCCUCCGGUAAACGGGAGUUGCAUAAUCUCAUAGUUGUAGGAACAUGUAUAAGUCAUGAAGAAAGCAAUAGCAACAUACUAAACGAUCAAGUGCUAAGCUAAUAGAAUGGGUCAAGUCAAUCACAUCAUUCUCCUAAUGAUGUGAUCCCAUUAAUCAAAUGACAACUCAUGUCUAUGGCUAGGAAACACAACCAUCUUUGAUUCAAUGAGCUAGUCAAGUAGAGGCAUACUAGUGACAUUAUGUUUGUCUAUGUAUUCACACAUGUAUCAAGUUUCCGGUUAAUACAAUUCUAGCGUGAAUAAUAAACAUUUAUCAUGAAAUAAGGAAAUAAAUAAUAACUUUAUUAUUGCCUCUAGGGCAUAUUUCCUUCAAAAAUGCCCCCCAGGAAACCACUAGGGCCACCGUAAUCUCCUCAUGCCCUUGCACAAUGCAAGAUGCCAUGAUUCCACUAAGGGACCCUUGAGGGCAGUUAUCGAACCCGUACAAAUGGCAACCCUAGGGGGAGGUCACCGAACCCGUACACUUUGGCAACCCUUGGGGCGGUCACUGGAACCCGUACAAAUUCCUCGGUGCAAUCUCCACAACCUAAUUGGAGACCCCGACGCUUGCCCGGAGCUUUACACCACAAUGAUUGAGCUCCGAGACACCACAAACCAUCUAGGACGCCCAAGCACCCAAGAGGAACAAGCUCUAGGGUACCAAGCACCCAAGAGUAAUAAGCUUCUCAACUUUUCACUUCCACGUAUCAACAUGGAGAACUCAAAUUGAUGCAACUAGUGCAAAGGCAAGGGCACACGAAGUGCCCAAGUCCCUCACUCUCAAAUCCCAUCAAAGCAACAAAAGCUAUGAAGGAAAAUGGGAGGAAGAACAAGAAGGAGAACACCAAGAACUCCAAGAUCUGGAUCCAAGGGGUUCCCCUCACAUAGAGGAGAAAGUGAUUGAGGAAAUGUGGAUCUAGAUCUCCUCUCUCUCUUUCCCCCCAGAAAAUAGCAAGAAUCCAUUGAUUAAUUGAGAGAUAGCCAGCUCGAAGAAGUUCAACAAUGGGGGAAGAACACGAGCUCAAAGGAUAAGAUGCAAUGGGGAAGAAGACCCCCUUUUAUAGGCCUCUCCAAAUCCAACUGUUAUGCACACAGCCCAUGCACAAGCGGUAGUACCGCUCGGGCGAGCGGUACUUCCACUGGCAUGGUAGUUUCAUCCAUAAUGAGCAACUAAGAAACUCAAGGAGGCGGUAGUGCUACCGAAGCGGUACUACCGCUCCCAUACUACCGCUAGGCGUUGCGUGUAUAGGUGAAACACCGAUAGUAUAGUAGAGCAGCGCGGUACUACCACCCACUACUGCCGCUCUACUUCCGCACAGAGGAAAAUGUAUCCAGAGGCUAAAAUAUAAUCGGAAGUAGCAGCGGUAGUGAAGGGACCGUGGUACCGCUUAUAAGCGGUACUACCGCCCACUAUUGCUGCUCUACUUCCGCUUGAAGGAAUACAAAGAGCAAAACAUAAGCGGUACUCCAUGCGGUAGCUCAUAGUGUAAGUACCGCAUAAGCGGUACUACCGUGGAGCUGGCCGGAACUACCGCUUGGGAGCUAAAAACUGCCCAAGCACAAAAGGAUGCAAGCGAGACCGAAACUGCCAUAACUUCUGCAAAUGAACUCUGAAUUGAGCAAACUCAAGCUUGUUGGAUAGAUGACGACAAAUAGUAAGAAGUGGCAGGGCAAGUAUGCCUAUUAUAUAUAGGAAUGAAACCUCUAUCAGUGAAGAACCAUCAUAUACUCCCACAUCAAAAACAUCAUAGAGGAUGCACAUGAACUCUGUUUCGAAGAACUCGAGCUUGUCAUGAAGAUGACCAUAAGCUAUAAAACUCACAAAGAGAAACACCAAAUAAGAACCAAGAAAGAUGAUGCAAGGAUGCAAUGGUUUGAGCUCUCUACGAACGAUAUGAUCAAGCUACUAACUUGAGAGCCCCCCCUUGAUAGUAUGACAAUCGAUCAUAUAACCCGGUCUCCCAACUACCACCAUGAGACCGGUAAAAUAGAAAACCUAUCAAGGGCAAACCUUUGCCUUGCACAUAGUCCACUUGAGAUAGAUGAUGACGAUCUUGACUUCCACAAGUUGGACCAUGAUAACCCACAAGUAUAGGGGAUUACAGUAGUUUUCGAGGGUAGAGUCACUACUAGGAAAAGGCCUGCUAGUGGCGCACCUGUUUUGGCUACUAAUGGCGCACUACAGGUUCGCCAGUAGCAUCACGCCAUUAGUAAUUAAUACUAAUGGCGCACCCCUGGUGCGCCAUUAGUAUACCAGAUACUAAUGGCGCACCAGAGAGUGUGCCAUUAAUAUAUCACACGGUGCGCCAUUAGUAUGCCUCCCAGGGGGCCAUAUUUACCCAUGUGCUCUGGCUUACUAAUGGCGCACUUGUAGAUGAUGUGCCACUAGUGUGCUUGUUGCAGUGCGCCACUAAAGUGCAGAGUGGUGUGCCACUAGUAUGAAUAUUAGGGAUUUUUUUUCUUUUCUGAUAUUUGCACAUGUUACAAAACAUAUUACUGCACAGAAUAUAGACAACACAACAUAUAAACAGCAGAUUUAUCGAAUACAAUAGAAGAUUAGUCUCCAAAUACAAUUCAUCAUAUUAGUCUCCGAAUUUAAAAUACCAAACAAAGUUAGAACAUUACAAGUCUCGAGACUGCGAGUAGCGGGUUUGUCUUCACAUUACAAGUCGAUAUCGAUCAUCUAAACUACCAUCACAUAGAAGAGAGCUGCGGUCAUCACGAUGAGCAUCAUCACGAUGAAACUGGUCUUCAACCGGUUCCUCCAACGCUCCCUCCUCUCUCCCGCUAGAUAGCGUGUGUAUCUAACUUCCACCUCCGCCCUAGUGGUGUACCCUUUGUAACUGUUAUCGCUGAAACAGUGAACCUGUCUCCAACACUCCUCCCAGUCGUCGUAGACUCCGGGAACCUUACCCUUGUACACAACAUACGAUGACAUAUCUAUGCACUAGCUAAACAAAAUGUUAGUAGCAAUUCACAGACAAUACAUAAGCAAUAUAUAAGUAUGCAACAAAAGGAUCGGAAGAGAAAAGCAACACAUUAAUAGCACGAUUCAUGGUCCUACUAAUAAAUAGCAUCGAUUACAUAUAAGUUGAACGACUAUCCAAACCAAAGAGACAUACAAGUUCAUUAAAGUUUAAUAUUACAACAUGAGCCAAUCGACAUUUCAGAACUACAUAGCAUCACUACUUUCGACUCGACUCAGGGACCGGAGGGUGGAUGAAGCCGCCGUCUUUCGUGAUGGUCAUGAAAUUGCGGGCGUUGUCAGCCUGCAUUUGUAGCAUUGUUUCUAUCUCACUGUUGGACAGUUGAUAUCUGAGGUAGAACUGCCCCGAGGUACGAAGGACAUCUUGAUGGAUGAUUUUCGCAAACUCCGACUGGAUGCGAUAGAAUUCUUGUCUGAUGUCUGCGUCCUGGAUUGCCGACAAGCGUGUGGCCCCGUACGAUCGCCCACAUGUGAUGGAGGGCAUAGUAGGCAUCCUUUUGACUUCCAGGCGGCUGAUUGACGUAGAGGAACAUCGUAUUGUGGGUGAACAUGUGCUUGCCGUACCUACGAAUUGUCCUGGUGAAGGUGCCUCCAGAUCUGGCGUAGCCGGGAAGAACAUCAUCAAGAACUUUCUUGAUAUUUGUGUAGUCUUUCUUCGACUGACGGUCUGAGUCGAAAUACAUGGCCAUGGAAUAUUUCAGGCUUAAGAGGAUGAGUGUGCAACAUGUGUCACUGCACAAAACACGGAAUGUUAGAAAAAAAAGAACGAUCAAAAUCUAAGAAAUCAUAUGUUACGGGGCGGUGAGGGGAUGACUUACUCGGGAAAGUAAGGCACGAGGAAGUUAUCCUUAUCUGGGUUUGCCAGAAUGACGCCUUCGAGGUGUGAACUCGCGACUUGCCGGUCCCCAGCGCUGCCCAAGAUCUUGGCACGCAUGUAGAAGGGGUCGACUAUCACGAUGUCCGGGGUCUUGUAUCUAAUAAUCCGCAUCUCCAUACUCAGCGAAAAUAGCCGAAUGAAGGUGUAGUGCAGCGGAUGAAGGUUAAACAUAGUGAAGAUGUCAUCAAACCACAGGACGAUUGUACCCCCGAUGGCGCUAUCCACAAAGCCCUUGCCCUCUGGCACCUUGGCCACAAAAAUCGGGUAUGCCACAUCAUUCUCGAAAAGACGCUGCUUCUCCAAAGAAAGAACACUGUCAUGCAGACUCUGCAUAGCACCGGUUGCAGCAUUGAGCAGAUUAGUCGGUAGCAUCGGCCUACCCGCCACAUGCACCCUCCUCGAGAUAUCCUUAGGUGAAGGUGGCCCGUCCUGAGAACGGAUCGUACUCGGUGCCGGCUGGCUCGCACCGCCCUUGUUAUUCUUUUGUUUCCGUCCCAUCUUCUUCUGAUGUAAUGGGAUCGAGUUCUGCUCAGAGACCGCCUUCUUGAGUGUGUUGGGGCUGAUAAUAUUUCGCACCUCAACUAUCUGAGGCUCGGUGAAGGCGGCAGCUGGAGGUGUCUCCUGAGAACUAAACGCCAGAUGACGCCUGUUGCAAUUGGGUUUCUCCGUGGUACCAGCUAGACUGCGGUCGUCUUUUGCAGGGUUGGGUUCUUGAGAAGGAGGCCCCAAGAAUUCGUCACUAUACCCAUGUUCGGCAAAGUACUUAUCAACGUUGGUAAAUGUAUCGUCGUUGUCAUCGUCGUCGUUUGGAUCCUGUGCCAUAUGCAUGUCCGGCAUGUCCAGUAGCGUUGCGGCGGUCUUGCCAUGGCUUGGCACCGGCACGACUAGCGGUGUUGUCCGUGGGGUGCUGUCCCCCGCCCCCAAACGAAUUUGGCUCUUCAGCCAAAGCAGGGGCCAGCUUACGCAGGCGCUGAGGGUCAUCAAAUCAUCUUCGUCGGCCCCAGUGGGUCGAAUCAGAGGUAAAAACUCGUCGUAGCCUGGCAGCACCCGAACCAGUUCAACCAUAUACACGGUGGGUGGCAUCGGAUUACCGUGGAACACGGGGUUGCCCGGUUGAACGAUUCUGCCCUUGGCAACAUCGAUCAACUCGCCGCCCACGAAGUGCAGGAGAGUGCAUGGAAUGUCGGCGGCACCCUGUGAAAACAUGUAGGGCGUCAGGGAUGCCCAGUCAAAGGCAAGGAGAUGAAGUCAUCGGCCGAGAGGCUUAGUUACCGUGAUGGCGUCGAUCUCGGCUAAUGUCGAGGCACCGCCAAUGGCGGGCAUGCAACUGACGGAGGGGCCGCUUGCUGCCGAGGUGCCGGCCGGCGUACACCCGGGUGCAUUAAGCUCCAAUGCCCGUGCCGGCGCCGGAGACACCAAUACCGCCUCCGCCAGAGACACCAAUGGCGCCACCUGCGCGUUGUGCGCGUUGCUGGCCGUGAAGCUGGGAACCGGGGGCGGCCCCUGUUGGCCGCCCACAAUCCACGCCUGCAGCCCCUCAAUCAAGGUAGGCACAAUGGCGGUGAGCGUCGUUCCCAGUUGGUGUUGCACUAGCUCUUGGACCAUCUCCGGAAUCCGCACCACUUGUGCCUUGAGUUCUUGAACCUUGCGCGACUGGCUUUCUGAGCUGGUCUUUCUCUCCUUUCGCCCACCUGCGUUAUAGUAUGACGACCAUUUUGUGGACAAGCCUUUGUCGGCCACACGACCAGCUGAUGACGGCUUACUGAACUUAUCCUUGUUUUUCAUUAUGUUGAACGCCCUAUUUAAAGUGUUGUCCCAAGGGGAGCUCUGAGACGACCCCGCGCUACUGCUUUCAGUCUCCCGCGGAAGGAAUGUGAACCAUUUAGAAAUUUGGCUUCAUUAAUUAGAAUGCAACCAUAUGGAGCUAAUUACGCGGGGGUGUAUUCCUUACCAGAACACGCUCAAGCGCCUUGGUCUUCGCAUCCGUGGUAAGCUCCUUUGUUACUGGGUCCUCCUUGUACCGGUCCCUGACAUAGUUCCUGGUCUGCUUGUCACAGUAUUUCUCGAAGCGGGGCGGUAGGCCUUGCUCGGCACGCUCCGCAUCCUCCUUGUCCCAUAUAAGUUCCGCCACUCUGUAACCGCCGGGACCGAGUUGGUGGACCCCUAAAUUCAAGUCCCGCAUUUCUUUCCUCCACUGACUUGAUUCCACGGUCGUGCUUCUCUCACACUUGAUCUUGAACUCCUUGUAGUCAUCUUCGUUGAUCGAAGGAUUUUUCGCCUUGAUCUUCUCAUAACUAUCACCUUUGUCAAUCAUUCUCUUCACCGCGCUUCUCCAAGUAGACAGGGCCGUGCUCAUCUUCAUGAGGGCGGCACUGUUCACUUUAUUCCCUGAGAGGCGUUUGUUUGCAAAAUCAGCGGGGAACUUGUAUCGUUCGUGUAGCUUCAUGAAGAGGAGGCUGCGCAAAUUCCCUCGGUCAGGAUGCCUUAGGUUCUCGGUGUUGAUCGAGACGGUGCUCCGAAGAAUGCACCCGAGCUGAACCGAGUACCCCUUGACUAAUUCUUUGGGCACCGUUGGAUGCCCGUCGGAGGACACUUCAGUAAAUUCCUCCUUGACGGUGCCGAGCAUGUUCGGGCGCCGGUCCUUCUGUUGCCUCUUUGGUUGGCUGCCAUCUGUGUGUGCGCUGCCAUCAUCAGUGGUGGCAUCCUCGGCGGCACCAUCAGUGGUGUCAUCCCCGACGCCACUAGGGGUUGUGUAGUCAGGAUCGGUGUCUUCCGCGGCAUCCUCAUAGCGGUGAGGUUCUUCCUCCAUCUCUUGGGACAGCUCACAGAAUUGCUUGCCCGAACCGCCGGCCUCAUCGUUGUGGGCCAUGUUUUGCUCUAAAUAGGAAAGAAGUUUGGUCAAAAAGUUGGUUAUUGUCAAGGAACAAGAUCAUGGUCUCAUCAUUUAGGAUUUAUCGACAUCGAGGCAUCCUAAAAGCUAAGCUUUUAUCGUUUAGGGUUUGUCGACGCCGUGGCACCCUAAAAGCCUAAGCUUUCAUCAUUUAAGUUUUUAUCGACACCGAGGCACCCUAAAAGCCAAGGUUUUAUAAUUUAGGGUUUGUCGACGCUGAGGCACCCUAAAUGCUAAGUUAAGUUUUCAUCAUUUAGGGUUUAUCGAUGCCGAGGCACCCUAGGUUGACUGAUAUAUAUGGGUAUCUUCUAAUAAUAUACCCUAUCAAGAAAAGGGAAGGAUAAUUCUAAGUUGGGCCAAAUCACUUGGCUCUAUUACCACCUAUGGUUUAAUGCAGCAAGAAUAAAGGGGCAGUUGAUCCUACUUAAUUAAGUACUAAGAUACCCCGACCCAUGCAUUAGUCGCAAGUACCCCAUAUGUCCUAUUUUUAGCAAAGUCAUGCUAAAAUUCACGGAAAAUUUCAGCAUGACCUUUGCUGAAAAUAGGACAUAUGGAGUACCCAAAUUUGCCGGAACGGAAGUUAAUCGACAUUCCGGCAAACUCAAGGGCCUCUCAGGGUACCUGCAAAAUCAUUAUCCCCGCGUAAUGAAGUAGCCAAUGGGUCAUUUCAAAAUAUCACAAGUAGCAUCAUCACAAGUACAACAUCAUCACAAGUACAGCAGCAGUAGCAGUGAAUACAGGCAUAACAGCAGCAGCAACAGGUUUAUUCUUCUUCUUCAUAAACACUAGUUGUCUAAUUGAGCAAUACAGCGACAGUGUGAACAAAUAAAAACACAAACUACACCUACAUAUUUGGGUACCUCUAUGGUAGUAACAUGCCAUGCUCUGCCUAGAGCUACUGCAGCAAUCAUUGUUAUACAUUUCUCUGAAUAGUAUAUAUGGCUUGAAAUGGCAGAACAGGUUACAGUAAUUAGAUGAAUGAAAUGCAUAAGUGUCGAAUCAAAACAAUAUAAAAAAUACCAUGUUCCCUAUGCUGUUUUGAUACACGAUAUGGGUGAAGUGACAUGACACUUCCAAAAACAAGGAUACAACAAUCACUGGUCCCAAAUGAUAAUACAAGGUGGUGUAGAUCUCUAAGGAGCGGCAUUAAAAGGGAAGGGCAUGCGGCAAGAUGCCAUCAAGCUCCCAGCAACAAUGGUCGGGGAGCAUGUCCACAUUAUGCAUGAGAGGAAGGCUUGUAUACAUUAUAAAGUAUGUUUUAAAUAUUUAAACAUCGACAUGAUUCAGAUACUGAGAAAAAUAGAAUGGAAUCAUUGUUAUAGGAUGCAACAGCUAUGACAACUCACUGAAGUAUCAGGGAAAUCUUUACCUAGCAACACAAGUUAAUAGGCUGAUAUUUUCUCCAUAUUUUUAUUGAAAAGGAAGUUCAAACCUCCUGGCAGUCACAAGUGACAGGAGCUGUGCCUACCACUAGGAUGACCACUUUAAUUUUUUUGCUUCUUUUUUUGAGAUAGAAGCACUUUCAGUCUCAGAAACAAAGAUCACACAGCUUUAUAAAAUCAACUUUACAGGAAGUAUUCGUGUAAGGAAACAUUAAUAAGUAUCUAAGUGUUUUUAGUUCAUUUUAUACAAAAGACAAACAACAACCCUUUUCUUUUGCAUCGGAAGAAAAUUCUAGUACUAUGUGAUAAGCUUUAGAAAAUGGAGUACUUACAGCAACUAUGCAGGCAAUCAAUCCAGGCUUCUCCCGGUGAUCCAAAGAAACAAAGAAUAGAAGAAAAGCACCAAUAUACCAGAGAAUUGCAGCCAAGAAGAACCCUAGUAAGAACCUUCAAAACAAAACCAACCUAAAGUCUUUAAUAUGGAUUGAUUGUGCUUUCAUUUUAAAUUUGCAGGUAAGAACAAUGAACUUAUAGAAACUCCUUAAUAUGAAUAUUAUACCGAUGAUAAAAGAUGUCAGAUUACUAGUAGAUAGCAAAGCAGUAGACAACACACUCAGAAGUAACCAUGCCAGUUUAGGAUAAUCCUCUGCUGAUGCAUCAACUUAUAUCCUAAUCCAAUUCCAGUACCAUUUGAUCGCACCAUAUAUUAUAAAUAUGGCCAUGGGCCCUUACCAACCUGACCAAUACGAGUACUAGCACCUCACAAAUUCUCACUAGCAAGCAUAUCUUCCAAAUGCUGCUCGCCGAACUUGUUAAUGAAACAGUUACUCAUGCAAUCCCCCAUUCACAUACCAAGUACUCAUACAGUCGUACUGAACCAAGUGCUCAUGUUGUUACCUUCUUCAAGAGCUUCCUAAUUUUGCCACACCGAUCACAUUGGAGACAAACACCACCAAAAUGAAGGACACUUACAAAGCCCAGCCAACGCCGACGCCAUAGAACGGCAGUCGCGGCUCCCGGACUGGGAGGCCCUCCACCAAGACCUGCUGUUGGAUAGUGCACGGGAAAGCAACAACGCCCUGAGCAGGAAAGUGCUGCUGGAUAGUGCAGAGGCAGGGAAGUGUUAGUACCUGUAGAGAAACCUAGGGGGAAGGAGGGGAGGAGAGAGGAGGAAUCACCUAGAGGAGAACGGCAGGCAGCUGUAGGAGGACGCUGGCGUCGAGGAGGCUGCGGGCGGUGGCGCGUCGAGGAGGCGGCACGUUCUUGCUUCCCCAAGGACCGAGACGGCGAGGCGGGCCGGUGGCAGCGUUGGAACCCUAGCGUUGUUCGGUCGGAGCACCUCGUCGGAGAGGGCGCGACGGUCAUCAGAGCGAGCGAGAGGGUCGUCAGAGCGGGUGUGGAGCGGGCGCAGGGAUCAUCGGAGCGGGUGUGGCGAGGGAGGGAAGGGGGAUCUGGCGAGGGAGGGACGAAGGGGGAUCGGGCGAAGGGGGGAUUAGCUAGAGGGGGGAAGGUUAGUAAUGGCGCACCCCCUAGCGGUGCGCCAUUAGUAAUCUUUUUUUGGAUAGCGAUGUCGCACCUCCUGGCAGUGCACCAUUAGUAAUCUUUUUUUGGAUAGNNNNNNNNNNNNNNNNNNNNNNNNNNNNNNNNNNNNNNNNNNNNNNNNNNNNNNNNNNNNNNNNNNNNNNNNNNNNNNNNNNNNNNNNNNNNNNNNNNNNNNNNNNNNNNNNNNNNNNNNNNNNNNNNNNNNNNNNNNNNNNNNNNNNNNNNNNNNNNNNNNNNNNNNNNNNNNNNNNNNNNNNNNNNNNNNNNNNNNNNNNNNNNNNNNNNNNNNNNNNNNNNNNNNNNNNNNNNNNNNNNNNNNNNNNNNNNNNNNNNNNNNNNNNNNNNNNNNNNNNNNNNNNNNNNNNNNNNNNNNNNNNNNNNNNNNNNNNNNNNNNNNNNNNNNNNNNNNNNNNNNNNNNNNNNNNNNNNNNNNNNNNNNNNNNNNNNNNNNNNNNNNNNNNNNNNNNNNNNNNNNNNNNNNNNNNNNNNNNNNNNNNNNNNNNNNNNNNNNNNNNNNNNNNGCGGUGGAGCGGGGAAGGGUGCGGGGGGUCGGCAGCGGCGGUGGAGCGGGGGAGGGUGCGGGGGGUCGGCGGCGGCGAGGAGGAUCUGAUGAGGGGGGGUAGCGAUCGAGAUGGAGGGGGAUCUGGCACGGGGGGUGCGCCAUAAGUAACUUUUUUAUUAUUACUUUUAGUUGCGUCUAAUAUUUUUUUAGAAAAUGACGAUCAAAUUUGAAAAAAAUUAUGAAUGUGAAAAAAUAUGAUCAAAUUUGUUAUUUGAAAAUAUUUAUGAAUAUAAAAAAAUAUCAUCAAAUUUGUUAUUUGAAAAAAUCAUCAAAUUUGUUAUUUAAAAAUAUCAUCAAUAUUUUUUUUGGAUUUUUAGUUGCAUUCAUUUGUGAAUUGGUAAAACAUUUAUGAAUAUGAAAAAAUAUCAUCAAAUUUGAAAAAAUAUUCAUGAAUUCAAAAAGUGCCCAUGAAAUUUAAAAAUAUUCAUGAGUUCAAAAAAUAUUAACAAAUUCAAUACUUUUUGUGAGUUAGAAAUUCAAUACCAUAAUAAACAUAAAUAAAUAUUCAUGAGGACACUAGAACGGAAGAAAUAUCAUUUCAAUAUCUCGAAAUACAAUCGAGAAAUGAAGGCUACAAUUUACAUACAAUCGAUCUUAGCUAGCUAUAUGUUCACAAUCUACUUUCCCUUAUUUUUCGCAAAUGGAGUUCUUCUCUUGAACGGACGCCCUUUAGGUAAGGUGGUCCUGCUUCUUCUUGUGGUGUAUGCUGGUACUUCAUCAUCGUCGUCAUGUUCCAUCUUCGGGUGGCCGUACUUGUCGAAGUCUUGCUCAUUGGCGACUCCAUCCAUUUCGAUGAUCUUCCUUUUGCCUCUCCUCACGACGACACGACUGGGCUUUGACGGGUAGGUAAUGAAGAAGCAUUGGUCCACUUGGGAAGCUAGUACCCGUGGCUCAUUUUUCGCGGUGACGUUUGCGCCCGCGGUCUUGGAUUUGGCUUCGGGUAUAACCAUGGUGGUGAAAUACCGAUCUUCUUUUAGGAAGCUCUUGGCCCAUCUGACAGGGAACAUCAGGACCUUCUCUCCAGCGUAGCUCAGCUCCCAGAUCUCCUCGAUCCUUCCGUAGUAUCUGUCCUUGUCGUUACCGGUGUAGGAUUCCAUUGUUACCCCGGAGUUCUGAUAACCAUCGCUCUUCAUGUCCUUUCCCUCGGUGUAGAAUGUGUAGCCAUUGAUAUCGUACGCCUCAUACGUCAUCAGAUUGUGCUCGGCGCCCUAUGACAAGGUGAAUAUGAGUUGUUCUUCCGCGGAAGAAUCCUCAUGUAAAGGGUACGACAGAAGCUUCUGCUUGAACCAACGCGUGAAACAUGAGUUGUGCUCUUUGAUUAUAUCUCCGUUCAUCCUCUGUUGGCCUCAGUCAUUGUACGUCUUCUCAAUAAAGGUUUUGUGCUCUACCACCCAAGGAUCGACCAUGUCUAUGUGUUGUAGCGCGACUAGGUUUGCUCUUUCAAAGUCGGCGAGUCGACCCUCGAAGUCGAGAUGCAUUUCACGGCGACCAUCACGGUGACCCCAUCCAGCGAGCCUGCUGAGGUGCCUGUUGAUGGGAAGACCAACGGUGUUCUCGAUGCCUAGAUAAUUCGUGCAGUAGGAGAUGCACUCUUCGGUCAGAAAGCCCCUGGCCAUGCUUCCCUCUGGACGUGACAUGUUGCGAACGUAUCCUUUGAUGACACCAUUCAUCCUUUCGAACAACAUCAUGCUGUGCAGGAACGUCGGCCCGAGUUGGAUGAUAUCCUCCAUGAUAUGGACCAGCAGAUGCACCAUAACGUCGAAGAAUGCGGGCGGGAAGUACAUCUCAAGCUCGCAUAGUAUCACCAUGAUCUCUUCAUGUAGCCUUCUGAGUUGCCUCACGCCAACCGACUACUGAGAGAUGACGUCGAAAAAGUUGCAUAGGACAAAUAGCGUUUCACGGACGUGCGCGUCCAUGAUCCCACGGAUUGCAACUGGAAGUAUCUGCAUCAUCAGCACGUUACAGUCGUGAGACUUCAUCCUGCUGAACUUCUACUUCGCUGAGUCUAGGUAUCUGCUUAUCUUCCCCGCGUAACCGUAAGGAAGUUUUACUCCUACGAGGCAGGUGAAAAACUGAUUGAUCUCCUCCUGACUUAGAGUGAAGCAUGCGGGAGGGAAGUCAUUUCCGGUCUUCUUGGCCUUUUUGCCUUUGCGACGACUUUCCGUGUCCUGCUUCGCCUCAUCAUCAUCAUCAUUAGCGUGAAGCUCCUCCCUGAUGCCCAUUGAUUUCAAGUCUGCCCUUGCUUUCGGCCCAUCUUUGGUCCUCUCUGGCAUGAGCAGGGUACCAAGCAGACUCUUACACACGUUCUUCGUGAUAUGCAUGACAUCAAGGCUGUGAGGCACACGGUGGAUCUUCCAGUACAGCAAGUCCCAGAAAACAGACCUCGUUUUCCAUACCUUCAGCAGCGGCUCUGGUGCCUUUCGCUUCUUUCCCAGCUCUGGCGCCUUUUGCUUCUUUCCCAGCAGUGGGCAAUCUUUCCAAUUUUUCAAUAGCUCGUCUAUUUCCUUGCCACUCCUCGUACGCGGGCGUCUUCGGGGUUCGGUUUCACCAUCGAACAUAUCCUUGCGUUUCCUCCAUGAGUCAUCAUCGCAAAGCCACCUUCGAUGUCCCAUGAACACGGUUUUUGAAGACCCGGGAUUUCUAUCUAGCUGGCGAUACGUUGUGUCAUCCAUGCACCUGACGCAUCCAGAAAAUCCGUGGACCACCUUCCCCGCGACAUAUCCGUAACCGAGAUAGUCCUGCACCGUCGUGAGCAGUGCGACUCUCAUAGGGAAAUAUUCUUUCUCUGCGGCGUCCCACAUAUUGGCUGGCGUUUUCCAUAGCGUGUCUAGCUCCUCUUUCAGCAGCCCCAUAUACAGAUUGAUGCCAUUCCCUGGUUGUUUCGGCCCUUCAAUUAGCAUACUCAUGUGAAUGUACUUCCUCUUCAUGCACAACCAGGGGGGAAGGUUGUAUAUCCACACAAACACAGGCCAGGUGCUAUGUGUGCUUCUCUGGCUGCCAAACGGAUUGACUCCAUCGGUGAUCGCGCCCAGUAUGAUGUUCCUUGGAUCGUUCCCAAAUUCUGGGUGUUCGAAGUUCAACGCUUGCCGCUGGCUCGCAUCCUUAGGGUGACUCAGCAUCUUGUCUUUUUUAUUUAUCUCUGGAUCAUUUGCGUCAUCUUCUCACUUCUUCUCCUCCCUAUCCGCGUGCCAACGCAGGAGCUUUGCUACCUUAGGGUCCGCGAAAUACCGCUGCAGACGAGGAGUGAUCGGAAAGUACCACACCACUUUUCAAGGAGCUUUCUUCCUCUUCUUGUAUCGAGUGACGCCGCACACCGGUCAUAUGGUAGACUCUGCGUGCUCAUCCCGAUAAAUGAUGCAAUUGUUCAUGCACACAUGGUAUUUCACGUGUGGUAAAUCCAGAGGACACACGAUUUUCUUCGCCUCCUCGAAACUGGUCGGGCACUUGUUCCCCUUGGGAAGACGUUCGUGCCAGAAUGACAUGUUCUCGUUGAAGCAUGCGUCGGUCAUUUUGUGUUUUACCUUCAUCUCCAGAGCCAUGAGCAUUACUUUCAGGCAGGUAUCCUCGGGCCUGCAUCCUUCAUCCAAUGGAGUAACCACGUCUAUCUCCAGUUGAUCCAUCUUGGCUUUCUCUCGGGCGGCAGCUCUUGCGUUAUCGGUCUACUUGAGAAGCAGCUCUUGAAUAUGAGGGUCCUGCACCCAGCCCAUCGAUGGGCCAUCGUCGUCUGCUCCGACAUCUUCAUCUUCAUGAUCAUGCCCUUUGUCUACUCUAGCAUCUUCCUCAUCAUCAUGUACGGCAUCUUCUACAUGAUGACUGUGUACUGCAUCUACUUCAUGAUCAUGUCCUGGAGAUUCUUCGUCUUCUCGCCCGCCCUCGUCGCAGUUGUCUUGCUGCCCUUCCUCAUUUCUUGCCCGGCCCCCAUGGACGACUUCAUAAUCAUCUUCAUCACCUUGCCACCGAUAGCCAUCCAUGAAACCACGCAAGAGCAGGUGGUCCCACACCUGUACAGAAUCCGGGUCCAUAAGGCUCCUUAGCUUGCAUCUUCGACACGGACAUCUUAUCUCCGUCUCGUUCUUUUGAAGCAUCUCGGUCUUCGUGGAGCUCAAAAACCUAUUCACGAUGCCUUCGGUCAUCGUGUGGACCAUGGUCGCCUGCGGGGUAGAGCAAAACGAUAUUUUAGAACCAAGAAAUUUUUUGGCAUGACUUUGCCUAAAAAUAGGACCAAAAAGAAUGCAUAGUGCCAAAUUCUCGCCGAAACGGAAAUGAACAUUCCGGCAAAAUAUUGGCAACUAUCGCAUUUCAAAUACUGGUACCUGCAAACACAAACAUAUAUGCAACACCACAAAUAUAUGCAACACCACAAAUAUAUGCAACACCACAAACAUACAUAGAUCUAGCUAGGCCAUAAAAAGUGCAUGUGCACGUUGUUGGAGGGAGGAAAAAAAGUAGAUCUACAACAUAAAGAAAGCUUUCCCCUUACUUACCUAUCAAAAAAAGGUAAUUUAACCACUUAAUUUGGAUGAAUCUAUGGUGCAAAUGAGGUGAGGAGGAGGAGGCAGCCGAGACAAGCUUGGAGGAGGUGGUGGAGAGAAUGAAGUGGGGAAAGUGAGUGUGUAGGUGGCUGUCCAAAAUAUCUACCUGGUCCCAGGUUACUAAUGGUGCACCACCUACAAAUGCACCAUUAGUAACCCUGGUUACUAAUGGCGCACUAGCUGAUGGUGCGCCAUUAGUAGUUUUGCAAAAAAAAUGAUAGUAGUGGCGCACGGGGUGAGUGGUGCGCCAUUACUAGUUAAAACUAGUAAUGGCGCACUGUGCCCUGGUGCGCCAUUAGUAUUUUUGGAAAAUAAUAAUAAUAAAUUGUUAGUAGUGGCGCACCGUGGGUGUGGUGCGCCAUUAGUGUCCAUCACAUUAAUGGCGCACCAACACAUGGUGCGCCACUGCUAUAUAGUAGUGGCGCACCACAUGACUGGUGCGCCAUUAGUGUCCAUAUUAUCUAUAGCCCUUUUCCUAGUAGUGAGUAUUCAACCCAAUUUAUUGAUUUGACACAAGGGAAUCCAAAGAAUAUUUGCAAGUAUUAGCAGACGAGUUGUCAAUUCAACCACAUCCAAAGAUUUAUUAUCUGCAACAAUAUGAUCAGUAGCAAAGCAAUAUGAUAGUUUUGAUAGUAGUAGCAAUAGCAAUAGUGAUGAUAACAAUGAUAGCGAUUUUGUAGCAAGUAUAACGGUAACAACAACAGUAGUAACUUAGCAAGAACAAUAUAAGAGAAAUUUGUAGGCAUUGGAUCAGUGAAUUCGUUGGAUGAUAUUCAUCAUAUAACAGUCAUAACCUAGGGUGAUACGACAGUAGCUCCCGUUCAUAAAUAUAAUGUAGGCAUGUAUUUCGUAAAUUGUCAUACAUGCUUACGGAAAGAACUUGCAUGACAUCAUUUGUCCUACCCUCACGUGGCAGCGGGGUCCUAUUGGAAACUAAGGGAUAUUAAGGCCUCCUUUUAGUAGAGAAUUGGAACAAAGCAUUAAUACAUAGUUAAUACAUGAACUCCUCAAACUACGGUCAUCACCGGAAAGUAUCCCGACUACUGUCACUCUGGGGUUUACGGAUCAACACGUAAUAGGUGAAUAUAACUUGCAAGAUCGGAUCUAGAACAUAGAUAUAAUGGUGAUAACAUAAACAAUUCAGAUCUGAAAUCAUGACACCCGGGCCCAAAGUGACCAGCAUUAAGUAUGGCAAAGUCAUGUCAACAUCAAUCUCAGAACAUAGUGGAUACUAGGGAUCAAGCCUUAACAAAACUAACUCGAUUACAUGAUGGAUCUCAUCCAACUCCUCACCGACCAGCGAGUCUACGAAGGAAUUACUCACUCCCGGUGGGGAGCAUCAUGGAAUUGGCGAUGGAGAAGGGUUGGUGAUGACGAAGAUCGCAAGAUCCCCCUCUCCAGAGCCCCAAAUGGACUCCAGAUCUGGCCUGCUGAUGAAGAAUAGGAGGUGGCGGCGGCUCCGUCUUGUGAAACGCUAUAAUACUUUCUCCCAGAUUUUUUUCUCUGAAAAUAUGAUUUUAUAGUAUCAGGGUUGAGGUCUGCAGGGCCACCAGGUGGGGAAAACCCACCUGGGCGCGCCAGGAGGAGGGGCACUGGUGGGUUGUGCUCACCCUAGGGCCCCCCUCCGGUGGUUCUUGGCUCCAGUAUUUUUAUAUAUUCUGAAAUAAUUCUUCAAAAAGUUUCAUUCCAAUCUAAGAUUUUUUAUUUCUGCACAAAAACAACACCAUGGUAAUUCUAUUGAAAACAAUGUCAGUCCGGGUUAGUUUCAUUCAAAUCAUGCAAAUUAGAGUCCAAAACAAGAGUAAAAUUGUUAGAAAAAGUAGAUACGAUGGAGAUGUAUCAGACCGCCUUUCUUGAUUGCGUUGGCUGAAUGAAGACUAGUUGAUUGCUCCCCCAUACUCCAUAAUGGGUGAGCCACUCUUCGGCACAUCUUCAUAACUCCAUUGUCACCAUAAUGGAUGGCAAGAAACAAGCAUGAGAUCUCUUCGUGAUGCUCCACUUGAACUUGCACACCGCAAUCUUGAUGAUGAUCACCACUUGAUGUCAUCCUCCAUGGGUUAUAUAAUAUCUUCCUUUUGAUGCACGACCAUGGAAACAUACCGAAGCCCACAAACAACUCGUAGACCAUGGGUUAGUACACAAAAACUAAUGGACAAUGCUAAUUAUACCAUGGGAUCACUUGAUCCCUCUCGGUACAUGUUGUAUGCUUUGUGUGUUGAUCAACUUGAUUCACUCUUUGACUUGGUCUUGAUCAACCUUGUAUCAUGUCUUCUACAUGACCAAUCUUUGGAUAAUUCCUUGAAUAGCACAUUGAUCAUCACAUAAACUCCUUGAAACGAACACAUGGACUUUAAGAAAUGCUUAUGGGCAAAUCCUUCAAAUAUAGCUCAAGGCAACCAUUAGUCCAUAGAGAAUGUCAUCAAUUACCAAAACCACACAUGGGGGCACCAUGCUCUUUCAAUGUUGAUUUCAAGAUGACACCAAAUACACCUAGUCUUCGCAACAACACAAUUCAAGAGCUACCUACUGUGAGGAUGCAUGCACCAAUAUUCUUUUUUAAAACAAGAUAUAACCUCACCAAAGCAGUCAAUGAACAAGAAAACAUCAACAUCAAUCACCAACAUUGGCAACCCCUGAGAAACAUUCUCCAGCAAUGAUGUCUCUAGGAAGGGAAGGAGCAGUGCACAAUUACCGUCACAGUACAAGUAAUGAAGCUACACGUUAAGUUUAUUGCCAUCAUAAUACACACUUCAGCUUUUUGGUGAACUAUCCAUGCAAAGCACCAUCUCAUUCGCCAAAAGCUCCAGCUGAAAGAGAGGGCAAAUCAUUAUACUCUAACAAUCUUCUUCUAUCUAUGCUCCAUUGAAAUUACAGUGUGGGUAUUGGAAGCUAUGUUUUGCGAUUCGAAAGCAAAAUAAUAAUAAUCUAGACCUUAUAGAAAAAUAAGCAGUAAUUGCAAAAUGUUGAUACGGAGGACUAAAUCCCAGAUAGAGAUGUUUGAAAAUUUCAAGUCCCAGUCCCAUUUUUGUCAAGUAGUAACCGCAACACCUUCUAUGCUUUACUUCCUACCUACCACCUCACCGAAAGAAUCAAUUUCUGUCAUUUUACUAAGAAACACAAAACUGUGAAUAUAAUAGGGAGGGCUACACUUAUUUGUCUAGUUAUUUCUUUAUUGUAAACUAUAUGCAUCCAACCAAUUCACGCAUUAGUUCAAUGAUUUUAUCUCAAGUAAACCAUAAUGAUGAAAUAUGUCAUAGUUGAACUAUUAGGUUUUGUGACAAAUGGCAUAACGGACUUCCUUUGGAAAUCCUUUCUCUCAACUAAGCAAGUUUAUGGGGCUUCUACGCGAGGUACAACUCCCACAAACAAACUAGGUUACAAUGUGUUCAACCGCCUUUCUAGAAACCAUUGAAGCACCAAAUACAAGAUUAUAUGUUCACUAGGGAGAUACUGCAUUCAGUUCGUCAGGGUUUGUAUAGCAUUCCUAGGUGAAUGGUUUGACUCAUACCUGACAUGCACCGCGUAUUGAAACCUUGAGACAUAAUGUCGAAAAACACAAAUUGAUAGCUAACUAUAUUAGAUCUAGAAACAUCGACCCUCAUUUUUUUAAUCAUAAAGUGAUUUUACAAACCCCCGACAUGUUGUGUUUGGCGUGUACACGUAAUAGAUUAAUGGGCCUAGCAAAAAAACAAGACAAAUGCUAGGGAUGUAUGCCUCUGUUUUUUUAUUUACCCCGCAUAUUAGUUUAACUGAAGUCAAAUGUUAUAAAGUUUGACCAAGUUUGUAGGAAACAAUAGGAACAUUUAACAUAAAAAACCUAUGUCCUGUGAAAAUAUAUUCAAUGAUGAAUCUAAUGGUAUUGAUUUGUGGUGUAUAUGUUACUAUAUUUUUGUACCACUGUCGGUGUUAAAACCGGCGGAUCUCGGGUAGGGGGUCCCGAACUGUGCGUCUAGGCGGAUGGUAACAGGAGACGAGGGACACGAUGUUUUACCCAGGUUCGGGCCCUCUUGAUGGAGGUAAAACACUACGUCCUGCUUGAUUAAUAUUGAUGAUGUGUGCUACAAGAGUAGAUCUACCACGAGAUCAAGGAGGCUAAACCCUAGAAGCUAGCCUAUGGUAUGAUUGUUGUUCGUCCUACGGACUAAAGCCAUCCGGUUUAUAUAGACACCGGAGAGGGUGUUACACAGAGUCGGUUACAAUGGUAGGAGAUCUACAUAUCCGUAUCGCCAAGCUUGCCUUCCACGCCAAGAAAAGUCUCAUCCGGACACGGGACGAAGUCUUCAAUCUUGUAUCUUCAUAGUCUUGGAGUCCGGCCGAUGAUGAUAGUUCGGCUAUCCGGACACCCCCUAGUCCAGGACUCCCUCAGUAGCCCCUGAACCAGGCUUCAAUGACGAUGAGUCCGGCGCGCAUAUUGGCUUCGGCAUUGCAAGGCGGGUUCCUCCUCCGAAUAAUUUAUAGAAGAUUGUGAACACCAGGAUAGUGUCCGGCUCUGCAAAAAUAAUUUGCACAUACCACCAUAGAGAGAAUAAUAUUUCCACAAGUUCAAUCUGCUGACGUAUUUGAUGGCAUGACGUCACACCGCUACCAAGCCUUUACUUAAAUCGUUUUUAUUGUACCACCUCAGCGCGUUUAGCGAAGCGGUUUCCUUGGCACGUCUUGUCGAAGCAGAGAUCAUGUUCCCCUUAUUCCGGGAUUCCCAUCAAUACGGACGUGGGUAACCCAACCGCGCCAUUGAUUGCGGCGCUUGGGGGAUAAGCGAGUUUUAUCAGGCCGGUGGGGACGCAUGUUUUCGUCCGCCCAUAUAAGGGGAUAAAGAUCCAACCCUAUUACCUGCGCCUUCUUCCUCCUUGGCUUACCCAUCUCUGCGAACCCGAGCUCCAGCGCCCAAGCGCGCACAUCUCACCUCAACCUUCUCCAACUAUGUCCGGAGCAGGAGGCAAGUGGAUGGCCUCCUCCAUCACGGAGGGGCAGAUCUAGAAGCUGCGCAACGCCGGAUACUUGUCCAGCGACAUCGCGCACCGGCUCCCCAAUGAGGGAGAGCUCAUCCCCACCCCCAAGCCCCAUGAGAGGGUAGUAUUCCUUCCCCAUUUCCUCCGCGGACUGGGCUUCCCACUCCAUCCCUUUGUCUGGGGGCUCAUGUUCUACUACGGCCUGGAUUUCCAUGAUUUGGCCCCGAAUUUCAUCCUCAACAUCUCGGUGUUUAUCGUUGUGUGUGAGGCCUUCCUCUGCAUCCAGCCCCACUUCGGCUUGUGGCUCAAGACCUUCAGUGUCAAGCCGAAGGUUGUGAAGGGCAGCCAAGCGGAGUGCGGAGGCGCCAUGGUGGGCAGGAUGUCCCAUGUUACUUAGCUCGAGGGAACUUUCGUGGAAACCAUCAAGGGGUGGCAAUCGGGGUGGUUCUACAUCACCGAGCCGCGUGAUCCCGAAUGGGCAGCGGUCCCCGAAUUCAGAUCCGGCAUCCCCACACGGCUCACCUCCUGGAAAGAGAGCGGCCGGACAUGGGGUGAUUCGGAGGAGCUGACAGGACUCCAAGCUUGUAUCCAAAAGCUAGUGGACAAGAAGCUCAAGCUUGUCAACGUAGUCCAGGUCAUGCUCAUCUGCCAGAUUCUCCCGUGCCAACGACGGGGCUUCAACAUGUGGGAGUUCGAUCCGGCACAGCACCAGACUUUGAAUGGGCUCUUCGACACUACAUACGAAGAUGUCUCGAAGGUGCUAUUCAAGGGCGCCGAAGCUCCCGCAUCCGCUACCGAAGAUCGCGGAUUCAGCUCAGAGCGUCCAGCUGAUGAGGUAAGUUAUUUUGUCCUUUAAGGGACGCUUGUUUUCCAUAGUUUGACUCUAUGCGGGAUCUAAACUCCCUUUCCUUUGACAGGACUAGAUGAAGAAGGCCGAACAGGCUAUCUGUCCGGCCCCAUUGCCAGAGGACCCAGCGGAUGCCCGUUUGACGGGGCUGCUAGCUUCGGCACCCCAUGUGGUGCCGGAGAAGAAGGCCAAGAAGAAGGUCACAGGGACUCGGAAGAGUUCCCGCUUUCAGGUGCUAUCGGAUGACGACUCCGAGGCCGACUCCUCUCACCAAGGUGAGGAGGAGAAGAAGAAAGCCUCUUCCCCAGCGGGGGGAGAGAAGAAAAAGAAGGCCUCCCCAACGAGGGAGGCCGAGGGGUCCAAGAAGGGAAAAACUCUUCCCCCGGACUGCUCUGCCAAUGCCAGUGAUGACGACGAGGACUGGCCUCCAAGGGCCAAGCCCUAGGCGAGAUCGUGAGUAUCCGGACUCCCGAAUAACUUCAUGGUUUAUCUUUUUUGCCACACAAUGUCUUUCUAAUGCCGCAUACAACCCUGCAGUCCGCCCAAGGACGAUCUUCCCGCUUCGUCGAGCGGGUCCUUAGGUGCGUCGGAUAUGGAUUCUCUUCCGACCGCCUCCACCCCCCGUGACACGGACGAUGCCAAGGUGGGAUCCCGGGAAGGGACCCGCCAGGAGGAGGAGGCCCCGGAGGUGUCGCAGGACAACCUCCCGGACUUUGCACCGGACUCGGCUCCGGAUCCCAUAGUGGCUCCGGAGUUCGGCGGGCGGCCCCUUCGUAAGAAGGGCAAGACCGUGACACCGGCAGCCUCCGUCCAACCGAAGGCGCCGGAUAGCUUGCUGGAGGCGCUCAAUGGCGCCUCCAUCAAAGAGGAACACCGCACUGUUAUGAGUGCGGUGAUUUAGAAGGUGCAGCUCGCCAAGAGCGGGCUGACCGAAGCCUGCAACAGCCUUCUAACAGGCUUUGAGGUAAGAAUUUUGAUAUAUGUAAAAUAGUACCGCAUAGACAGUAGCCCCUGAUGCUCGGUUCGGUGUUCGGAAAGAAAAGCCGGACUGAGGAUCUAAGAAGAUAUACGCAGGAGUCAUAAAAAAUAUGUCGAUAUGGGAUUGCAGGCUGCGCUGCUGACCUCUGCCGCACUGACUGCGGAGGUCAAUACUUUGAAGGAAGGCCUCGAGAGGUCCGAGAAUGAGCUCGGCCGUGCCAAGAAGCAGCUCGAGGACAAGGAAGGUGAGUAACACCUUAUUAAAAUUGUACCUUACAGAAAAGGAUUUUGGUUGCAAAAUGAAGGACAAGGAUAACAUGGGUAUUGCAGGGGCCACUAACGAGGUGGCGACCCUGAAAGAGGCGGUGGCUGCGACCGAACACAAUGCGGCCGCGGAGCGCACCGAGCGAGAGAAGCGGGAGGCACGGGUGGCGGAGGUACAGCAAGAGCUCCAGGAUCUCGUGAAAAAACAUGAGAGCCUGGAGCGUGACUCGACGACUCGAGAGUCUGAGCUUGCAACGGCUCUUAAGAGUGCCAAAGCCGCUAAGGCCGAAGCCUACAAGGCCCUCCAGGAAAUCGAGGCGUUGAAGAAAAUAGCAGCGGGUAAGGCAUUUUUCAUGCAAAGUAAGCAUGUGAGUGUUAAUUACCUGUUGCUUACCCGAAUUCGGAGCUCUCCAGGAGCGUUCGCAGAUCUUCCUCGCAGCGUGUCCGAUGCUGCCGCGUUCUACCGGGCCGAGGAGGGGAGCUCGACGGAGAAGGUCUUCUGGUCUCAGUAUGCUGAGGCCGGACAUCCGGUGCCCCUUAGCGACCAGCUAAAGCAGCUGGUCGAGCUCUACAAGGUGGCCGAACAGGCCAUGAAGGGCCUCAUAGUUCGGCUGUGGCCUAAGGAGGCCAUGCCUGGGAGCUACUUCGGCCUGGUGCGGCGGCUGGUGGAUGCGUGCCCGUGGGUCGAAGUCAUCAAGCACUCCGUCUGUAUUGAAGGUGCCCGUCGGGCCCUUGCCCGCUCAAAGGUGCACUGGGGCAAGAUGGAUGCCUAGAAGCUCGUGACGGACCCACCACCGGAGCGCAAGGAGCAUCGCACGCCCGAGAUGUAUUAUAAGAGUGUGCUGAAGGGCGCCCGCACUAUUGCGGGUGAGUGCUCCAAAGAUGUAAUAUUUGAGUAGACUCGCAUUUUGUUAUCCUGUGCGCUGAAAACUUAGUUCAUUUGCGCUAAGCAACGUGUUUUGAUUUAAAAUAUUACCUUCUGUGCGGCUGUUUAUCAAAUCUGAGAGAUGGCAAGUCGUCGGCUUCAGCCCCCAUGCCACGAGUGCUGGGGUGUUCGGGAUAAACUUGAGCACUCUUGUUCCCAUAUUUGGGUCCAUCUAGGGAGGCGCUCAACACAACGAACAAGGCAACCGGACUUAUAAUGCUUGAACACUCUCACUUAGCCAUAAAAUUCUAUAAUUUUAAAUUUCGGCGAAGCCCCUAAUCUUCGGAAGGCCGAAUUUGGGGCGCUAUCCAUGCCUUGGCCGGACAAAAACCGGCUCCUCGCUCUAAGCGGCAUAAGUCUUUAGGGACUCACAAAAAACCUCUCGAACAGCGACCAGCUCUCACCUCAUCAUGACGGUCAGUUUUAGCUUUCUCCACUGAGGCGUUAACCCAGCUCAACUGGGGCGCAAUCGCAGUGGUUCUCCCAGUGCUACCUUAGCCGAUACAACGGAACAUAAGGUACCAAAACAUGGGAGCCGGGCAAACCCAACUAUUGACCCAAGACAUGAUUCGGAGCUGAUGCAUAUAUUGCUAUAAGUUCGGGGUGCCGCACUUGUGAAAGUGUUCGGACUUAUCACACCAUGAUGCGGGAAACAUAAGCCCCUGGUGUAUUUAGCCAUACCAGAACGUACGGAUGCGUAAUGUCACAAAUGAACAUAUGUAUAAAAAAGAAAUGCAAUUGCAAGCAAAAAAAGGUGCUGCAUUACUUAUUAAAGAAAAAUUGUUGUAAGUGCAGAACGAUACAAAUGGUGCGAUAAGCAAGGGAUGGGACUGUUAAACAUGUCCCCCUCCAGGGGUAGGCUGCGGAAUGGUGCAUAAAACAGAUUUAAUGCUCGUAAUGGAGACCACCUGGAUAGUCGUUGUAGCCUUUCUUCUUCCCUAGCUAUUGCAUCGUGAGUUCGGCAGGUCUACUACCGGACAGGGCCUCUGACGAACGGAGUCCUGUGGGUAAAAAUAAAAAAAAGGAAAAAGAAAAAAAAGAACGACACACUUGAGAGCCCCUGGUGUGGUUGAGCCGCAGUCUGGGCCUAUCGUGGUCGUGCCCCUCUCCCCAUGCCCAUGGUAUCUUCAGAGCGUAAUGGUGUACGCGAAGGACCUGUCUUGAUGUUUUACAGGGGCUGGGGUUGGGGCCGCACUGCUACGCAUGCUCGACACGUGCCAGGUGGUCUUGUUGUAAGUUACUCCGGGCGCGCUUAGCUGUGUACGGCCGCUUAAUGGCCGAACUCGAGAAUUGCCUUAAGAGGCUGCAUUGUACUUCUGCCGCGAGAGCCGUUGUAUGUUCCUCCGUGCGGAGAGAACGUUCAGUGUUUCCGUUGACCGUGAUGACUUCUCGAGGGCCUGGCAUCUUGAGCUUGAGGUAUGCGUAGUGCGGCACCGCGUUGAACUUUGCGAAUGCGGUACGUUCGAGCAGAGCAUGAUAGCCGCUGCGGAACGGAACUAUGUCGAAGAUUAAUUCCUCGCUCCGAAAGUUAUCCGGGGAUCCGAAGACCACUUCUAGUGUAACUGAGCCUGUGUAAUUGGCUUCUACACCUGGUAUGACGCCUUUAAAGGUCAUCUUGGUAGGUUUAAUCCUUGAGGGGUCUAUGCCCAUUUUGCACACUGUGUCCUGAUAAAGCAGGUUCAGGCUGCUGCCGCCGUCCAUCAGGACUCUGGUGAGGUGAAAUUCAUCGACGAUUGGGUCUAGAACCAAUGCGGCGAAUCCGCCAUGGCGGAUGCUGGUGGGGUGGUCCCUCCGGUCAAAAGUGAUCGGGCAGGAGGACCAUGGAUUGAACUUCGGGGCAACUGGCUCCAUCGCAUAUACAUCCCUGAGUGCACGCUUCCGCUCCCUUUUGGGUAUGUGCGUUGUGUAUAUCAUGUUCAUCGUCCGCACCUGUGGGGGGAAACCCUUCUGUCCUCUAUUGUUCGGCGGCCGGGUCUCUUCCUCGUCAUCGUUGUGCAGCCCCUUGUCAUUGUUUUCGGCAAUUAACUUGCCUGCCUAUUUGAAUACCCAACAGUCCCUGUUGGUGUGGUUGGCUGGCUUUUCCGAGGUGCCAUGUAUUUGGCACAAGCGGUCGAGUAUUCGGUCCAAAUUGGACGGACCCGGAGUAGUUCUUUUAAAUGGCUUUUUCCGCUGACCGGGUUUAGAGCCUCUGAAUCCGGCAUUGACUGUUGUAUCUUCACUGUUAUCGCCGUUAAUGCGGCGUUUGUUUUUGUUGCGAUGCGACCUGCCACUACGGUCCUUGAAAUCCGGACUGCCAGAAUUUUUGCUGAGGUUAUUGCUGCGUGCUAGCCAGCUGUCCUCACCCGUGCAGAAGCGGGUCAUGAGUGAUGUGAGGGCUGCCAUUGAUUUCGACUUUUCCUGUCCUAGGUGCCGGGCCAGCCACUCGUCGCGGAUGUUGUGCUUGAAGGCUGCUAGGGCCUUUGCAUCCGGACAGUCGACGAUUUGGUUUUUCUUUGUUAGGAACCGUGUCCAGAAUUGUCUGGCCGAUUCGUCUGGCUGCUGAAUUAUGUGGCUUAGAUCGUCGGCGUCUGGUGGUCGCACGUACGUGCCUGGAAGUUAUCGAGGAAUGCGGCUUCCAGGUCUUCCCAACUCCCGAUUGACUCUGCUGGCAAGCUGUUAAGCCAAUGUCGGGCUGGUCCUUUAAAUUCGAGUGGGAGAUAUUUGAUGGCGUGAAGAUCAUCACCGCGGGCCAUGUGGAUAUGGAGGAGAUAGUCUUCGAUCCAAACCGCGGGGUCUGUUGUGCCAUCGUAGGAUUCAAUGUUCACGGGUUUAAACCCUUCAGGGAUUUGAUGAUCCAUUACUUCGUCUAUGAAGCAUAGUGGGUGUGUGGCGCCUCUGUACUGGGCGAUAUCGCGACGAAGCUCAAAAGAGCUUUGUCUAUUUUGUUCGGCCCGGCCGGACUUACUGUGUCCGGCACGACGGUUGUCGCCACGUAUCAUGGGGCGCCCACGCGAUCCAUAGAUCGAUCUUGAUUGUCUUGCCUUACCCUCCAAUAUAUCUCGCAAGUCCGGAGCGUUCCCCUGUGGCUUUGUGCUCUUCGAGCGAUGCCGGGGUACGGUUCUAGUGAAGGGCCUAGAAGCCUCUCUGUCACGACCACGGGGUGGUCGGUCAGCCGUAUUGUCUGCUAGUGAUGUAGGUUCGUAUGCCUCCUCCUCUAAUCGGGGGAGCAGCUUGCGUUUAGGGUAACUUUUGGAGGGGCGUUCGAGCUCAUGCUCUUCGGCCGCGAGGACUUCAGUCCAUCUGUCGGCUAGCAGAUCUUGAUCAACUCUAAGCUGUUGGUGCUUUUUAUUUAGGCUGUUUGCCAUGGCCAUAAGCCUGCAUUUAAAACGCUCUUGUUCGACGGGAUCCUCAGGCACGACGAAUUCGUCGUCGUCGAGGCUUGCCUCGUCUCCGGAGGGAGGCAUGUAGUCCUCUACCUCUUCUUCUGCCGCUCUCUCAUGAGGGCUGGCGUCCCCAUCCUCCCGUGCUGAAUUUUGCUAGAGUGGGUUGUCUUCGGCACUAUCUGGGGUGUUAUUAUCUCUGGUGCCGGAAUCUUCAUUCUUGCUAUGGCAGGAUUAGAGCGGCGCCGCUGACGCCGACGCUUGGGCUGUUUCUUGGAGGGGUCAUCCUCCGCUGCCCCUUCGCCAUUCCCAUCCUUUGGGAUAUCCACCAUGUAUAUAUCAUAUGAUGAGGUGGCUUUCCAGUGCCCGAUAGGCGCUGGUUCUUGGUCAUCUCCGGCAUCGUCGUCCAUACCGUCGAUGUCUUCGGAGUCGUAGUCUAGCAUGUCGGUUAGGUCAUCAACAGUGGCUACCAAGUGGGUGGUGGGUGGGUUUUGAAUUUCUUCAUCGUCCGCAUCCCAACCGUCCUGGCCGCAGUCCGGCCAGGGCUCUCCUGAUAAUGAGAGAUACUUUAGCAAACUCAGGAUGUCGCCAAAAGGUGAGUGUUGAAAGAUGUCCGAGGCAGUAAACUCCAUGAUCGGCGCCCAACCGGAUUCGAUUGGUGGGGGCGCGGGAGGUUCGUAGUCCGGCAAGGAGUCCGGCGCCUUGGAGUCACGAGCUUCAUGAGGGACAAGGUCAGUGUUCGGCUCUAUCACCAUAGAGGUUGCAGCCCCCGAGGCGGCGUCUAACCAUCCAUCCUCGAUCUGCGCAGCCGGCUCUGAAUUGAAGAUCGGAGCAGGCUCAAGUGCGGCCUCCAGGGUACUGUCCGGUCGCAGAGCUAAAUCAUGCUCGUCGUGACAGUGCGGCACGCUCGGCUGUGGCUCGAAUCCAUCGAGGAUCAAGUCCCCACGGAUGUCAGCCGUGAAGUUCAAACUUCCAAAUCUGACCUGACGGCCAGGGGCGUAACUUUCGAUCUGCUCUAGAUGGCCAAGAGAAUUGUCCCGCAGUGCAAAGCCGCCGAAUACGAAGAUCUGUCUGGGGAGGAAGGUCUCACCCUGGACUGCGUCGUUGAUGAUGAUCGGAGAAGCCAUUGAGCCUAUCGGCGACUGCACAGAGGAACUCUCAAUGAAAGCACCAAUGUCGGUGUCAAAACCGGCGGAUCUCGGGUAGGGGGUCCCGAACUGUGUGUCUAGGCGGAUGGUAACAGGAGACGAGGGACACGAUGUUUUACCAAAGUUUGGGCCCUCUUGAUGGAGGUAAAACCCUACGUCCUGCUUGAUUAAUAUUGAUGAUGUGUGCUACAAGAGUAGAUCUACCACGAGAUCAAGGAGGCUAAACCCUAGAAGCUAGCCUAUGGUAUGAUUGUUGUUCGUCCUACGGACUAAAGCCAUCUGGUUUAUAUAGAUACCGGAGAAGGCUAGGGUUACACAGUGUCAGUUACAAUGGUAGGAGAUCUACAUAUCCGUAUCGCCAAGCUUGCCUUCCACGCUAAGGAAAGUCCCAUCCGGACACGGGACGAAGUCUUCAAUCUUGUAUCUUCAUAGUCUUGGAGUCCGGGCGAUGAUGAUAGUUCGGCUAUCCGGACACCCCCUAGUCCAGGACUCCCUCAACCACCUUGGUGAAAGAAUAUAAAGUUUAAUUUUACACAAAGCUAAUAUUUGAAGUAAAUAAAGAUGAAAUUGGGUGGGGGAGGGGGUGGGUUGACGACAAACCACGACAUUCUAGAGUGUCCUUUAAUUAAUGUUAUCUCGUUAAGUAAUACUUUGCCCCUAAGAUUCGUAGGAUUCCGAAGGCGUGGAUAUGAAAAAGUAGAUACAAGUACAAUGUGAUAUCCAACUGAAUCAUAAAAUAUUUGUGAAUUUUGAACCAAAGUUUGUUUGAUUGUACUCCCUUCGUUUCAUAUCAGUUGUCAAGUGGUUUGAGUCAAUGCAAAUUUCUUAUAUAAUGCAAGCACAAUGCAAAUAACUACCAUCGCAAACAAUUAUAUGAAAAUCCACUGAAUGAAAGAGGCCCAUCAACUUAGAAAUUCCUUGCAAUAUGUACUCAUAUAAGGCCUUCCUCCUAUGCCCUUGCCCAGGCAGGGGGCUGGAGCAGCAGCGGCCCCGUCCGCCCCGCGAUCCUUGGCUUCUCAAGCCGAGUCGGUCAUGCCGUGUCCAACAUGGAUGGUUCAAAGAGGAGUUCUGGGGGACCACGCACAGGAGGGCUAGGGCUUCCUGGCCCAUGCCGCAAGAUACAGUAGACUUCUGUGUACUUCAAGACGUCAGGGGCAUCGGUGGAACAUCAUCGGAAACCACGAAAGCCGCCAGAUCGAGCCAACCUCCCUACCGUGAAGCCUUUGUCCGAGCGCCCGCCCGACGAGAGGGCAUCGCCUGUUCUCGAAGGAAAAGUGCCGCCAGCGCUUGAGGAGAACCUGGUGGUUGGUGGGGGCGAUUAUGGGGCUCCCUCCGAGGAUGCUACCCGCCUGAAGCCUUCCAUCGGGGGAGCCGAAGAUGUUGUGGCGACGAACCCGUGGGUGCAGACGCUCUUCAUAUGCAAAGCCGGUACACCAAACAAGUGUCAGACUAUGGAGUCUCUGGAGGGGCAGCAGACUCGUGUGGAAGGAGAUAUGCAUGACCAGGACAUGCUGGAGAGAACAAACACCAUGGAGGCAGUCGGCCCAGGGGCCGCUGAUGAACUGACGGGGCUCGUGGAGCCUCGUCAAGAGCAAUGAACAUCCUGAGCUGGAACUGCUGAGGAGGUGGGAACCCUCAGACAGUUUGGGAUCUCGUGAGUCUAGUACAGGCUCACUCCCCUAGUAUCGUUUUUCUUUGUGAAACUAGGUAGUCGAAAAAUGAAAUGAAGAGAUAUCGUGCUCGUUUAGGUCUUAGUGGUUUUGAUGCUUCUGAUAGCAUAGGCUUCAGUGGUGGUCUUGCUUUGUAUUGGCACGAGUCAUUGAGUCUGGAUGUAAAAACUAUUAAUGAAAGAUACAUCGAUGCGUACGUGACUGGUAUGGCAGGUGAGCCACCCUGGAGGCUUACUUGCGUCUACGGCGAACCCCGGACGGAGGACCGUCCUCGCAUGUGGUCUUCCCUUCGGGAACUUCAUCAACAAACCAACAUGUCGUGGACGAUGAUUGGUGAUUUUAACGAAGCCAUGUGGAGUUUUGAGCACUUCUCCGAAACACCACGGUCGGCAGGUCAGAUGAUUGCUUUCAUGAUGUUCUUGAAGUUUGCGGCUUGGGCGACCUUGGUUUUGCAGGCCUUCCAUAUACAUAUGAUAAUCGCCGAGGAGGGCGGGCGAACGUCAAGGUCCGCAUCGACAGGGAUGUGGCAAACAAUUCCUGGAGGGAUAUUUUCUCUCACGCCAAGGUGGAGCACCUUGUGGCGCCCAGCUCGGACCAUCUUCCCAUUUUGCUGCAGUGUGUGAUGGAGGAGCCCGUGCACACAGUCGGGAGAAAAUGUCGCCAAUAUGAGGUUAUGUGGGAGAUGGAUCAUACUCUCCCUGAGGUAAUUAUGAAUGCAUGGACUGAGUUGGGUUCAAUGCUUAAUCUCGGUGAUAUAGCUACUGGUUUGGGUAAUAUGAUGAAUAAGUUGCAGCAGUGGAGUCGUAAGAAGUUUGGUAAUGUAAUCAAGGAAAUUAAUAAAUCUCGCUCUCGUUUAGAGGAACUUAUGUCUAUGAAUGCAGACAGGAAGGAGAUUAGAGCGGCAAUAGACCGGAUGAACGAGCUCCUGUACAGGGAAGAAAUGCUUUGGAUGCAAAGAUCGUGUAUUGCUUGGCUGCGGGAAGGUGACCGGAAUACCCAGUUCUUUCAUCGAAAAGCGGUAUGGCGUGCACGGAAAAAUCGUAUAGAACUUCUUGUCGAUGAGGCAGGAGUGACCCACAAGGACCAUGCUUCUAUGGCGGCUAUGGCUACUGCAUAUUUUUCGAGUUUAUUUGCUGCUGAUACUACCCUGGCUCCAGAACCUGUUAUCGAUCUCAUUAAUACCCGUGUUACUGACCGCAUGAAUGAUGGCCUAUGCGCAGAUUUUUCAGACAAGGAGAUAGCCGAUGCACUGUUCCAGAUUGGGCCUCUGAAAGCCCAGGGACCGGAUGGAUUCCCCGCUUGUUUCUUCCAGCGGAAUUGGGCGGUCAUGAGGGAACAAGUUAUUGCUGGGGUAAAGGAAUUUUUUCGCACAGGUAUCAUGCCCGCGGGAGUGAACAACACAUCCAUUGUUCUUAUACCAAAGGUGGAUAACCCGGAGAGGUUAACAGAGUUCCGCCCCAUCAGCCUGUGCAACGUUAUUUAUAAGGUGGUGGCAAAAUGUCUGGUAAACCGGUUGAGGCCUAUUUUAGAUGACAUUAUUUCACCGGAGCAGAGCGCCUUUGUUCCUGGAUGGAUGAUUACUGAUAAUGCUUUAAUUUCUUUUGAGUGCAUUCACUUUAUUCAGCAGGAGAAAGACCCUGACAAGAGUUUCUGUGCGUAUAAGCUGGAUCUGUCUAAGGCAUAUGAUAGGGUGGAUUGGAUCUUCUUGGAGCGAAUGAUGCAAAAGAUGGGCUUCGCUUGCCAAUGGGUGGACUGGAUUAUGGCUUGCGUCACCUCGGUGAGAUACACAGUAAAAUUUAAUGGAACCCUCUUGGAUUCGUUCGCACCGUCACGUGGGCUUCGACAAGGUGAUCCCCUAUCCCCGUUUAUGUUUCUGUUGGUGGCUGGCGGGCUUUCUGCUUUGUUGAAAGAUGGAGAGGAGAAAGGUGCUUACACACCGCUGGAAAUCUGCCGAAGAGCUCCGGGUGUGUCACACUUGCUUUUUGCGGAUGAUACUUUGUUGUUCUUUAAAGCAGAGGAGGAACAAGCAAAAAAGGUUCAGGAAGUACUUAAUAUGUAUGAACGGGUUACUGGACAGUGUAGUAACCCAGAUAAGUGCAGUGCUCUCUUUGGUCCAUCAUGUGCCGUGGACAUACAGGAUAGUAUACGGGUUGUCCUUCACAUUGGUGUGAGCACCUUUGAGGAAAAAUACCUAGGACUUUCGACGCCAGAGGGUCGUAUAUCACGAGGUAAACUUCAGAAUUUGCAGUCACGGCUGAUGAAGAGGACCAUUGCUUGGGGUGACACUCUUUCUCUUGCUGCCAAGGAGAUUAUGAUUAAAGCAGUCGCACGGGCUAUCCCAACUUAUAUUAUGGGUGUUUUUAAACUGCCUAUGUCAGUGUGUGAUGAUCUGAACAGAACGGUGCGAAAUUUUUGGUGGGGAUCUUCAGAGGGCAAGAGGAAAACUCACUGGUUGGCAUGGCCAAAAAUUCUGGCGCACAAAUCCCAGGGCGGAUUGGGUUUCAAGACUUCCGGGUGUUCAACCAAGCUCUUCUCACGAGACAGGCAUGGUGCUUGCUAGCUAAGCCUGAUAGUUUAUGUGCGCAGGUGUUAAAGGCUCGGUAUUAUCCUGAUGGACGCCUUGAGGAUACAGUAUUUGCCGGAAAUGCUUCGCCUACUUGGCAGGCCAUCCAGCAUGGCCUCGAGCUCCUGAAGAAGGGCAUCAUCUGGCGUGUCGGGAAUGGACAGAGCAUCCGCAUCUGGCGGGACCGCUGGGUACCCCGGGAGCCUUCACGCCAUCCCAUUACACAGCAAGGCACCUGUCGGCUGAGAUGAGUGGCGGAUCUUCUGGAUGAUGCCGGCGCUUGGCAGAUGGACUUGCUACGCCGACACUUCCUCCCGGCGGACAUUGACGCGGUCACCAGUAUCCGCACCUCGCCCCACAUCACCGACGACAUUAUCGCAUGGGCGCCGGAGAAGAACGGUAUAUUCAUCGUUUGAUCCGCCUAUCACUUCGCCAUGGACGAGCGGGAACGUCCACUGGCUACCUCCACGAGCAGGGCACCAGAUGGUCGUCGCGCCAUCUGGAAGAUCAUAUGGGGGUGCCCUGCCCCCCCUAAGGUACGCGUGUUUGCAUGGAGAGUAGUGACCAACUCGUUGGCUACCUGGGCCAACAAAUUUUCUCGUCAUCUUGAGCUUACUGACAUAUGUCCUCUUUGUGGUGUGGAACGAGAGGACGGCUUCCAUGCAUUAUGCAGAUGCCCACUUGCUAGAGAGCUGUGGCGGAAUAUGGAGACGGACUGGCCAAUCCCAAAGCUCGAGGGAAUUUGCAAUAACGACCCAGAGUGGCUGUUUUCCCUCCUGGAACCACUAGACGGAACGGCACGCCUGGUCACCCUCAUGAUUAUGUGGCGAACCUGGUACGUGCGCAAUGAGAUUACUCAUGGAAAGAAGCCACCCCCAACAGAAGCAUCCCGCCGCUUCCCCAACGGGCACAUUAAUUCGCUUCUAUGCAUUCAUCACUACCCAAAUGGAGACGUGGAGAAAGGAAAGAUGAUCCUGCAUGUUACCCCACCGGCCACAACUUUAUGUACUGAGCAGAAGCAGGAGCUACGUUGGGCGCCGCCCGGCCCGAGCUGGACGAAGUUAAACACUGAUGGCAGUUAUGUCCCAGCUACAGGCGUUGCAGGAGGGGGCAUGGUCCUCCGCGAUGACAGAGGAGAGAUCAUCUUCAGUGCGUGUAGGGAGAUACGCACAUGUGAUAACAGCCUGCAUGCGGAACUUGCAGCAUGCAGAGAGGGCUUGGAAUUGGCUUUGCAUCGGACCAACCUACCCAUCGUGGUGGAGCUGGAUAGUGUGGAAGCGGUCACGAGGCUUACAACACAUGUGAUGGACCGCUCACAGCACCGUGUUCUAGUUGACGAGAUUCGGAGGAUAGUUACAUAAGAGGAUAGAGAGAUUUUUUUUACUCACUGUAGACGAUCUCGGAAUAAAGUUAGUCAUGAGUUGGCCGCGUACGGCCGUAGUACCCCCCGCACUGCUGUGUGGUUGCGAUCAGGGUUGGAAUUUGUUGUAAACCUAUCCAAGGCUGAUAAGCCUCCUUGAGUAAUGAAAAUCUCCUUUCACCCUGCAAAAAAAUGUACUCAUAUAAGGCUAGCUUUUUUUCCUGUUAAAAAAGAUAAAUAAUGGAGAAAUAUUUGGGAAGAUAACACUUGGCACUCGGUUGGUGGAACACGUCACAAUAUUAUUUCGAAUUGAUCUGUAACCAGAAUCUCAAUGCAAAAUACCCCAAGCAUACAACCGAGACCACGCAUGCACCCCAUCGCAUGGCCUCCACACGCCUUGUCGAUAUCCAUGGUGGCAUCUGCGCCGGCCGGGUGUCACGGAUCCCCCUUCACUCCCUCAGCGUGUGAACGUGGACGCUCCAACCCAACCGUGCCCCGUGUUCAGGAUAAGCUGGCCGGCUCGUCCGCCCUUCUUAUUGCCGCUGCUUCUCAUCUCACACGCUCCAACACUAUCCUCUCCUCCACCGAGUAUCCGCCUACGGAGUAGUACCUCGCAAGCUAGCUCGCAGCUCCGCCGCAAUGGCCACCGUAUUGAGCAGCCUCCGCUUGCCCUUCUCCGUCUGCCCCGCCGCCCCUUCGGCGCCCAUGGCGGCAUCCCGCGUCGCGCUCCCGCUGUCGUCGACGGCCGCCAGGGGCAUGAGGCUCCGCGCGCAGGCGACGUACAAGGUGAAACUGAUCACGCCGGAGGGCGAGGUGGACCUCGAGGUCCCCGACGACGUCUACAUCCUCGACCACGCCGAGGAGGAAGGGAUCGACCUGCCCUACUCCUGCCGCGCCGGCUCCUGCUCCUCCUGCGCCGGGAAGGUGGUCUCCGGCCAGCUGGACCAGUCCGACCAGAGCUUCCUCGACGACGACCAGAUCGAGGCGGGGUGGGUGCUCACCUGCGCCGCGUACCCCACCUCGGACCUCGUCAUCGAGACCCACAAGGAGGAGGAGCUCACCGCUUGAAUUCACUGAUUUGUUUAGUUCGACCCGUUUCCACCGUGCGCGUGUACCAUGCACGACAUUCGAACUGUAUCAGGAUAUUGAGGAGUUGCAAAGUACAGUACGUAAUUAGUACUUGCUGUUGUGGUCGGAUUUUGAUUGCUUUUGCUUAUUAAUGCCUAGUGUUAAUUUUCUCAAGUCAAUCAAGUAAUAAAAGGAGAUGAGAUUGUACUCCAUGUCUCCGUUACGCGUGCCUCGCGAUUCACUUAUGAUUUAGAUCCUUUUUAGUUUGCAUAUAAGUU
rnacentral:lncRNA from 1 species